CGAUCUCAGGUUCUCUUUUUUUUCCUAUUUCUUUCUUCCUCUUCUGCCUCUUCUUUCACCUUCUCCCUCGGUCACCGUCGACUCCCUCUUUCUUCUCCCUCAUUCACCGUCAACGAUAACGGCCUCAAUCGAGGCUACUGCUCAGUAGCGGGCGGUUCGUGUACCGGUCUGCUGACGGACCGGUACAUACCACCUAGUACAGACCGGAACAUACCACCUGGUACGGGCGAUAUCAUUCGGUAUUGCAAACCUUGGUUUAAAUGAUAUGGUUAAGACCAAGGUUUCAAGUUUUGCAUACCAGGUAGUAAGGACUUGCUGGUCUGGAUUUGAACUGGGAUGCUGACCAGGGCUUUUCGCUGAUUCAAUUUGGAUAUUAAAGGGGGUAUGGCUUAGGUUUAGCAUGCUCACAGGAUGCAGGCUAGGCGUUUUGUGAUUCCUUUUAUGAGGCGAGUUUUUAGUGCUUGUGGGACAGAUUCUCCUUGCACCGGUGCUCAUAUCGGUGGCCCUCCUUGUAUAUUGGUAUAUCUUUCUUAUUGAUGUUUUAGCAGUUGCAGAAGCGUUCAGUUUCUUGUUUAACUAUUGAGGUAUGAAUUCCUUGCUACAGGGUAUUUAAUUCUUUUUAUUUAUGCUGUAGCAUUCAUUUAAAUGAUAUGGUUAAGACAAGCAUUUCAAAGUUUACCUGGAUCAGUAAGUGCUGAUGAUUAUAUUGUGGUCCAGGCUUCAAUGGGGAUGUGGACCAGGGUGUUUGCUGGUUCGAUUGGGUUUAUUUUGUCUGUGGGGGUGGCACCUAUGGGCUUUAGCACUCAUAGGAUACAAACUAAGCUUUCUGUGAUUUCUUUUUGGGGUUUUAGCUUGCAUAGGAUGCGGAUGCUCACACCGAUAUCAAGUGGACCUGUACCAGUCCACCUAGGGACCAGUACAUGUCCGGUAGUUGAGACUUCGAACUGUGGUUAAUACCAAGGAUUUUAAUUUCUCGUGGUUCAGCAUAAUUAUCAGUCCGACUGUUGACUGGGAUGUGGAUAGCUGAAGUCCGGACUGGCCCAUUAUUUAGAUCUUCUUUUGCUGCCUGUUGCUGCCCACGUGCUCGUGGCCUAUCGUCUCUUCUCCUCCACUGCCUGUUUCUCCUUUUCUUCUUUCUUCUUCCUCUUCUUCUACAACCCCCCUCGCCAGCAGAUUGGUAGUGGAUAUGUUCUGGUGUGUCAUGUGUUGGCAUGCUAGAAUGGACCAGACCUAUGCUGGUUCAGCCAUGGACUGGCACGGGCAUGGGUCUGGUACCUGAAAUUGGAUUCCUUGGUUAGGACCUAUUUUUUGUUUUAUCUUUUAUCUUACUUGUAAGUCAGAUAAAUAUUUGUUUCAUUCUAAUGUUUUGCUUUGUGUGUUCUUUGUGGUCAUUUGACUUGUACACCGUAUCAUAUUUUGAAUUUGUUUUUUCAGGAACUCAAUCUUUGCUUUAGAUGGUGUGGCUUGCUUUUUUUUAUAUUGCCAAUUUAGUCAGACAAGUAUUACUUACGUCCUUAUGUUCAUCAUGUGUGCUAGUCCUUUGUUUGCCCUUUUAGUCAUCAAAUGCUGAUAAGCUGGCUUUCCCUUUAGAUUGAUUGGAUCAGAGGUUUUCCUAAUUGAAUGGAACAUGGUUUUGUGAGGUUUUUUAAAAUGAUGUCCACUAUUUGUUCAUCAUGAAGAACUGUAGUUCAGUUGGUUUACGUUUGAGACUCAGUGAUCUGGUGUGGGAUAAUGAACUUUUUUUUCUGAAAGAAAUUGUUUUCCAGCAACAACUUGUUUGGCCUAAUCUGUAAUUUAUUUAAUCAUGUCUCAAUAGAAGUACAUCCUUUAGUUAUGUGAUUGGUUGAUUACUUCUGGCAGACGCUACAAUAGUUUCCAUUGAUUUCUUUAGGUUUGUAUGUGGGAUAAAGCUAACAUUUAUAAUAUUCAGGUCGUAACUUUUUCCUGAUAAAAUAUUUAUAAUGAAGUUAAAGAGUAAUUGUUUUGACAUAAUUGGGACUGCUAAAAGUUUAUAUCAUUCCGCAUAUUAUGGUUGACUCUGGAAUAUUCAUUUUAUGUCUUUUGAUGGUGUCUUUGACUUUAGCUAUUGUCAUGAUUUGAUUUGGCCUUCUUUCACAAAUAUAUAUGGACAUAACUUAUUCUUGUUUAUUUCAUCAUGUCUAGGAGCAUGAGUGUCUUGUAGAAGGACCACUUAACAAUUUGAAGCAAAGCAUGGUACAGUUUCAGAAGCCAAAAAAGGUAUGCUGUAGUCACACACAAAAAGGAGAGAUGGCAGAGAGAGACUUUUCUACCCAAAUCAAUCUGUACAAAUUUAAUCUUUCUAUUUAAGUCUCUGUACUUUGUACCAUUUGUAUAAUGUGCCUGUGGCUGGUUUUAUGGUCAACAGAUUUACAACAGCAGACUUUUCUAUGGGGGUGGUCCAGCGAUGGUUCAGACUGAUAACUAUGGUCCUGUCAGUUCCUCAAGCCCACUUGCUGAGAAGAGAGGUGGGCGCAUUAAAGGUAUGCUUUUUAACUUGGAUUAUUAUUGAGAUGAAAAUAAGAAGUUUUCUGAUAGUUGACAAGAUUAAAUUUGUUUUAAGCAUAGUUGAGGAAUGGUUCAUGCCUUAGCAAUUGAAGCACCACUUGUAUCUAAUGUUGAUUAAUUUUUCUGGGGAACACCUUUUGUUUAAAAGGAGUUUGUAACUGUUUGGUGUAUGCAUAAAAACCAGGUCAUUCUUAUGUCCCAUUUGGCCCUUCAAAUGGCACACAAAAACCUGGUAUGCAUCCACCGGGAUAUCCUUUGCCCUGUGUCCCUCUUCCGCCAUUUGCUGGAGGUCCUCAUUCUCAGCCAUAUGCAAUUCCAACUCGUGGUGCGGUUCAUGGACCUUUAGGGGCUGUUCCACAGGUCCCACAGCCUGGUAAUAGGGGUUUUGGGGCCGGUCGUGGUAAUGCUGGUGGUCCUAUUGGUGGUCACCUGGCUCAUCAGCAAAAUUCCCAGCAAACUUUGGGUAUUGGGUCUGCUUUCAACUUUCCUCCCUUUGAUGAUUCAAAUAGUCAACCAUCUGUUGGUGCUCCAUCAUCUCAGACUGGAUUAAUGACUCAGGUCUGAAACCUUUACCUAUCCAACAUUGGGUUUGCAUGGGUGAUCAAUUCCAUUGUUUUCUAUCUUCUUUCUUUUUCUCUUCUAGAUGCCAGUUCAAGGUCUCGGUCAAGCAUUUCGUGAUGGACUUUCUGUUGGUGGCAUGUCACAGGUACUUGAUGAUGGUCAUCUAUUAUUUGUUUUGCUUUCUUUGCUGAUGUGUUGGUUUUUUUGUUGAUGUUUAACCUUCUUUGAUUUCAGGACUUUAUUGGUGAUGACUUUAAAAGCCAAGGAUCACAUGUUGCAUAUAAUGUUGCUGAUUUUUCUGCACAGGUUCUUAUGUUAUUAUCCUGCACUUCUUUAUAAUGUAUAGUUGUAUACUAAGUUGUUCAAUGUCUUUGGUUUAGGCAGCAUCAUUUUAAGUUUCGCCUCAGUGAUUCUGAAUAUGGCAGAUAAAUGUAUCUUCGACUUUGAUAUUGUAUUUGUUUUUGGUUGUAGCUUUCAUUUGAAUUUCUUGUAUUUCUUAUCAUCCAUUUUGUUGCUGUCUUUUAUUAAAUUAUUGCAUUUGUCAAAGCCAACUUUGAAUCAUGAUCUAUCAUUUUGAAUCUUGGUAUAUAGGGUUCAUAUUCAAUUGGAAUGGAGAUCCAUGGAGUCUAUCAGUUAUCAUUGAUCAUUGUCUUCCAAUGUGCAUCUGGCCAUUAUAGUUUGUGGAUGAAAAAGGAUAGCGUCAUGUUAGCGGAAAAGGUUGACAUGCAUGUUGAUGUUAAUUGCAUCAAAUUGCAUGUGAUGAUAUACUGGGACUUAUUAUUUUGUUGUGCCUCUUUGUGGUACUUGUCAUUAAAAUCUUUGAACAGAGGUAUUUUAGUUGGAUCUAUUCUGAUAUUUUGAUAUGUAUGCAACUUCAGUACCAUAAGACCAAGACAUGUGCAUGUAGUUGAAGUACGUCAUCAAGAAAUAUUAAACUGGAAAGAUAUAUAUAUAUAUAUAUAUAUAUAUAUAUAUAGAGAGAGAGAGAGAGAGAGAGAGAGAGAGAGAGAGAGAGAGAGAGAGAUGCUGGAGGGGAUGUCACUUGUGUUAUCAAUUGGAUGAUUAAAUUAGAGAUGCAUCUGGCAUGUCAUGGAACCAUGAACAUCUGUUCUGUUUGUAAGGAAGGUUUUACAGGGGGACUAUACCAUCAGGCCAUGUGUAUCAGAGUGUUGCACAAUUUAGGAAGCAAAAUGUACAGAUUCAUUUUUCAUCUGUAAUAUGAAUUCUGAGGUUGGAUGAUUGGUGUUGUUAUAAUCUGAAAAGAAUAAUGCAGAUGUGUUUACAUUAGAGCUAGCAAUCUUUGAGGAUACAUCUACUUUUCGUUGUUGCGAAUAAUGACUAGGAAAAGUAACGAGAUUAUUGCCUUUUCCAUUUUGGUGUUGAUUACACUUGCUUUGCCCUAUUUCUGAGUGUAUGCAGGCUAAUUGAGCUGUUUCCAUUUUUACAUCGACUAUACAUCUUCCGGUUGUUGAAUCUGUGCAAGUCUGCAUGGCAUUUGCUGUAAGACUGCCACCAUUGUGUUUGCAGCACUUGGCAUGGUCUUGUAUUUCAAGGAUACAAUUAGUUGCGGGCCUUCUUUAGUCAAAUUAUCCAUAGUGUUUCACUAUGUUAGUUUUCAUUGUUCCAGCUAAAUGCAACAUAUAUUAAAUUGAAAUUGCCAUGACCUUUCAAAGACUAUUGAAGGUGCAUUCUGUUUUGCUGGUAAACUACUGCAAAUGGGUCAACCUGUGCUGUUGAACAUGCACCACCAAGGCAAUUCUUGUUACUGUUGUAUGUAUUUUCAUAUUAUUUACUGUGCAACUUGGUGGAUUUGAGUAGAUGUCAUUUUCAUCAAUUUCUUCGGGGUUUAUGCCAUAUAUUGCAUUCCCCCAUGGAUGAGAUGCACUGUAUUGCCUGUAUGAAUAAUUGAUUUUUUAUUUUACUUGUGCUACAUCUCAUUUUGCUCACUUGACAGGCUUCUCAAAGUGGAUUUGGUGUUGAUUAUGUCUCCCAAGGUCCUCAUGCUGGUUUCCCAGGGAGUUAUUUAAAUCAGAGUACCCAGCCAGGAUAUUCCCAUUUGGGCACUGGAAACGAUUUUUUGUUUCAGGUUGAUUAGCCUUAAAUUGAUCUUGUAUUUCUGCUCCAAAUGAUUGCAUUCCUUUUAACAUUUUGGCUAAAGCAUGAAACAUUUUAGCAGGAAUACAUGCCGCAUGGAUCACAAGGUUUAUUCACACAAGCAGGAUUCAAUGAUCCAUCACAAGAUGAAUCUUCUCAGAGCCACUUUGGCAUGGGUGGGCCCAGUUCUCUUCAGUCACAGGUUCUAUUAGGAGCUUGUAAUUCAUGCUCGUCAAGAUCUAUCACAUUUCUAACAAUGAAGCUUCUGCAGGCAUUGCUAAACCCUCUGUAUUCACAACCCUUUGCUCAUUAUAAUGCUCAGCCUCAAAAUCUGCAGUCUCCACCACAGCAAAAUCAGGGCUCACCCAAUCAGAAACUUCACUACAAUGGCUGAGCUGCACUGGAUUUAGGAGUGAUGGGUUACAUCCUUUGCACCCAGCUACAGUGGUUGUGCCAAGUCAUGUCUUCUUACAUUGACAGAUAACAGCUCAACCUUCUUUUUUUGGCUUCUCGCAGUCGCAUAUGGUGCACUAGUUUUAAGAUAGGAGUGGUGCAUAUGGAGAUUCGAGAUAGCAAUGGUGCUGAUUGUGCCUGAGGAGAGGAUUUAGCCCAUACUUCCAACUACAUUUAUUUUUUUUCGGAAGGAGUUGACCAUUGGGAGAAAGCAUCUUUUGCUUAUAUGAGGGCUCACAGCAAUUGGUGCCUGCAUAUUGUGAAGAAAGCCAUUCUGACGGUAAGUGAGACAUUGCGCAUACAUGUUCAUAACCAACGCUAAAGGCUCCAUUUUGAAGAAGUGGAGUUUUCCUCCACCCGGAUGGUAUGACGAGCAAGUGUUGCAUUAUGUACAGCAGUGUUCAAAGAUGACUGGCCCGUGCUUGCCAUUUGCAUGGUCAGAUACGGAUCAAACUCACGGCUUGUCCUUUGUUGGAAUUUAAUUAUGAAAUUAGUGCAUAGUGUCAUUGUUACAAGGCUCUGUUACUAAGAAAAACUUGCUUUACUUGAAGUGUGAGUUUGGAGUUUGCUUGAUUUAUAUGAUUUUGAUUUUUAUUCUUGUGGUAAAUUGAUAUUAUAUGGUUUUAAUUUUUUUAAUGAGCACCGGGCUUGCUUCUCUGGCUUUGCUAAGCUUCAAACCUUAAAGGAUUGAACACCAGACGUCAGCUAGCUGCUGGCAGUCAGUUCUUGUGGUGAUGAUUUGAGCUGUUCAUGCAUGAAGCAAUUAGAUUAUAUGCUGGCAGUCAGGGGCUUAAAAGUGUGGCAUCCAAGUUAUGGAACGGGAAAUGUUGGCAUCAUGUGGUGGUUACCUUGUGAGCUGUGGAGGCUGCAGUGGAUGGGAAUUAGUAAAGAAUUUCAAUUCUUAAGCUGAUGAAUACUGAACUCUGAAACAGCCAACAAGGACUGUGCGAGUUCUGCUGAUGCCCAUCGGGUGAAGUUUUGAACGGGAUUGAUGCUUUAAGCCGAGAAGAAGCAGUUCGAGUGUUGGCAAUGAGCAGCAGUAUUCAUUCUUCACUUCCAAGUCCAGUUUUCGGGAGCAAGACAAGGAAGAUACCUGUUUCCCUUAGCGCAAGUGAAAUUACAAGUUUUCAUUUAAGAAUUGAAUCUAGUGUGACUAGUAUAUAAGUCUGUAAAAACACUUCCCUUACUCUCAGGUCUCUCUUUGAGCUCCAUGAGCGCAACAUUAUACGUUGCAUGUUGAAUUACGAGUUUCGCUUUUCUUUUCAGAAUAAAGAUAAUCUUCAAUGACAUGAUUCACUUCAAGUGGAGUUACGAUUGCUUGUUGGGUUGACAGCUUUCAAAACUCAAAAUGAGGGCGUUUAUGAGUUAAGGGAAUUGAGUUCAGUGUUGCGCGUUAGGGAAGCUUCCCGUUGCGCAAAGGCGCUGAUGCUAUUUAUUGUGUCACGGGGCAUUGGGUAGAUAAGGGAGUAGAGUCUCUCGUUUAUUUCGUCUAAUGUUAUUCUUUCUUUUGCACUAUAUGUAUUAUAUUCUUUAGUUGGGGAACAAGCAAUUGGUAUUCCAUAGCUGCUGGGAACUGGUAUUUAAACAGCUAUUGGAACCAGUAUUCCAUAGCUUAUGGAAUUGGUAUUCAAUAAAAGCACUUUGUUUGUGUCGAUUAGUCUGAACGACGACUAUGCUCAGAAUAGGAUAGUAUUUGAAUAGUUAGAAAUAGGGUCUUAGGAGAGCCUAACCCCAGCCUCAUCCUGGUGAUUAGAAGAAACAUCUCUGAUCCUUCACCCUAAUGUGACACCUUCUCUACCAGAAGAGUUGUAUUCUUAACAGGUUCAGUCGACUAGAGAGCGAGAUUGAUUAUUCAUCUUCUGGUAUGGGAAAGUUGUCCCCUGUACUAAUUAAUACUAACCAAACUCUUAGUUUUAUGGUCUUCAAGUCAUCAUUUUACAAUACUUUUAUUUUAGGCUGGUUACCAUUACCUUUUUUACUUAGAAGAAUGAUCCGAGCAAGGGAAAGCGUAGUGAGUGCACCUAAUGCGUCUAUGCAUUUUCCAUUCUUUUUAUUAGAUCAGAUGAUGAAUUCAAUAGAAUCUCCAAUCUCUAGUGGUGGUGGCGCGAUGUCUGCUGUCUGACCCAACCUCAAACUCUUUCUUGCCUACCUAUCUAUCUAGCUAUUUGACUCUUUGGCCCCAAUUAUGUAGGUGGUAUCAUGAUUUUUUGAAGAGAUUGAAUUCCUUGAAACUUUGAUAUUAGCCAAUAGUAAUAGAAAUGAUAAUUAAUAUCUAUAUGAUCCACAAAAAUACAUCGGCCCAUAUAAAUGAAAGCGAUCUUGGUCCAUGGAGUCCUAAUAAAGUAGGAAAUCAGUACACUCACUCUCAUCUCAAUACACUGCUUAUUUAGUAAGGAAAGGCGUGAAAGCCGUCUUUCUUAUCGUUGACCAGUGUUAUGACAAAUCAACUAUUGAAGGUACGUACCCUAUGGCUCUUCUAAUGCAUUGUUUAAGCCCUACAUCUUAGUUGAGCACUGUUGUAUUGCUUGUUGAAUUGAGCAUUCAAAGUGUCGAGUCAACUCAAAUCUUAAUUUCUUCUUUCGAGCACAUAACUUCUCUUACAACUGUAGCCAACUUUUGAACUAAUCCUUCUCAUUCUGAUCUCGGUGCCAACAUAGAUGAAACUUGAAUCGGAAGUGGUCACUUGAAACAACCAUCCGAUCCGGAGCAAAUCCUGUUUUCAUUGAUUUUGAAGUUCAUAAUGUCAUUUCCGAUUUCCGAAUUCUAUUAUCGACACGCUUCUUUGAUUUGUCAGUUCAUAAUGUCAUUUCAAAAUAAAAUCGAAUCUAUCUCUCGUCUUGCUUGUCUCGGUCAGAUUUAGUAGUAUUCGUUGAUGUUAAGUUCAUUGAGUUUGACUUUUCCUCUAAAGAAAUGAAUUAAGUUUGACUUGUAGCCGAGAAUGAAUCAGUUGUUAAUAAUUGGCUAAGGGCAAAAGCACAAGGUGGAGUUCUUGUUUCAUCGACGAGAGAAGAAGCGUGUUAGGCUUCUUGUGCUUGCUUGGAUGCUUUGAUUAGUCAAAAUUAAAUAUGUUAAGUCAUUAUUUUGAUUAGUCAAAAUUAAAAUAAUUAAAUUAAAUGAUAUAAUUAUUAUGAAAAUUAAUUGUAUGAAUAUCAUCAGUCAUAUUUCUAACUUAAUGAUGAGAUAAAUUAGGAAUAUGAAACUCUUGAGGCAUAAUUACAGAUUCAUCAAUUAUGAAUAUAAUCAUAAUUGUAGGUUCAUAAGUUAUGAAUAUAAAUAAGGCUAUGGUCACCGGUUAUAGUAUCAAAUAAAGUUUCUCUUCACCCGUCAAAAGAAAUCUAAAAUUCUUAAGGAUACUCUGUAGAACAAAUCAUCAAUUCAUUUAGAAAAUACUUUGAUGAAUUCAUCAUUUAUGUUACGUGUUAAUAUGUUUUAUAAUUAUUAUAUGAUUUCAUGUAUAUUAUUGUGGAUCUAAUAAGUCUUUAUAAAAAUGUUCUAAAAUUCGUUUUUGCUCUUAUAAAACAUGUUUGAUCCAUAUUUGAUGUGUUAAAGAACCAAACAAAUGAACCAACAAAUCUUGUUUUGUAUUUAUAAACCAUGUUUGAACCAAAAUUCAAUUUUUUGAUAUGUUAAAAAGAUCCAACAUAUUAUGCUUGGGUGCUUAUGUGAGAUCCAAAAUGCAUUUGAACAACCUUUAGAGUAGGAAAGAACAUAGGAUUGCUUCGUCAAGUACAAAAUCAAAGAAUCAGUUGCAAGCGGAGCGAGAAGGAAAGUCGAAGAAUGAUUUUGACUUCGGAUCGAGUUGUUAUGCACUAACAGGAGGAGCAAAGAGAAGAAAGAUCAGAAUCAAGAGAAGAAGGAUGAGAGGCAACAAGCAGCAGGUAAUCCUCAACUAGAGGUCAUGCACUGACUGACUGCUCAAAUAAUUAAGACUUACUCCUCAUAAGCGUUAGUGAGCACUUUGUAUUGCUUCUUCUCCGUUACUCUAAUAGAGAGAGAAUAUUUGAUAGCUAUCUAUCUACCAAACACCUUAAGACUUGACAGUUAGCUCUGCUCUAACUUAAUCUACAGCUGGCUCAACAAGCAAAGGUCAAAGGUCAAAUAGACUACUCAGUGUUACACAUACAUUAAGUAACCAAAGAGCUUAUAUAUACAUACGAUUACACUGAUUGACAUGGUAACUCAAUUCUUAUAGCAAAUUCCUUAGUCACCUUCUUGUAAACAGGUAGUUGAUAAUUUGCUGUUGACUUUAGCACAAAGUCAACUCAUGAAUCUCCUUGUUGUAAAAUGAAAAUAGAACUUGUUUCUUGUUCCGUUUCAACAACUCCCUUACUUACGUCCUUAACUUGCAAGUUACAUCUCGACUACUGACACCCCCAACUCAAUUAUCUUCUUCUCCCAACUCUCCGUGGGGUUGGUUCAAUGGAAGGAAGUUGACAGGGUAGAAUAGACAUGGACGAAUCUGAUAUUUCUCUAUUCCAUCGGUGUCAUCAUAGUUCACCAGCGAUCUUCGGAGACUCGGGUCACGCCGACUUUGGAAUCAACCCCGAUUUGGUACCAUACCUGCACUGCUUCACAUUCCCAAUCAAUCCACAAAACUCCGUUCCGUUGCGAUAACCACGAAACAUAUCCAAAUGAAACAGAAGAAAUAAAGAGAGUAGUAAAUGAAUAAGAACGAUGGUCCGAUCUUGUUCCUCAAGUUUCGGAACAUCUCGGGCUCUCAGAUCUCAGCCGUCCAUUUGGUUAGUGGCGGCGCCGACGGCGUCACUGUAGAUGUGAUAACGGGGAAACCCAAACCAUUCCAUGGAAGCUUAAGUGGCCGCUGGCGAGUGGGGUUAGACGAAAGGGAGGGAACGAAUUGACGACUAUACCCCUGUUACCCACAUGUAGAGAGCAGCCAGGCCGCCACCGCUGUCGUCGUCCUCCUCCUCCUCCGUCUCCCGCCUCGCGGUUCCCUCCGGUUCCGCGGAUUCCCGGCCGCCGCCGUCGUCGUAGAGGUGGCUCCAACGACCGGAGAACCGGAACGAAGACGAUGAGAGCCGGUCCACGUAGUCCAUCAGCCACCCCCUCGACCCUUCGCCUGACGGCCCCGCCGCCACGGGCCCUGAGGCAGCGGAAUCGGCGUCCUGUCGCCUAGGUAUCCGAUGCACUACCGCCUCCACGUCCUCCUCUUCCUCGUUCAUCAUGUGGUCGAACGACGAGCCGAUCGAGUGUGUUUGGUGGCGCGACGACGACGACGACGACUGCGGUGUAGGAAGGGACGGGUUUCUCCGGGAUAAGACGUCUCCCGGGGUCCGACUGCUAGCGCUGCCGAUCUCGACGUCGAAGCUUCGGGACAUGGGGGGGUCCUCGCAGGGCGUGUGCGACGCAACCGAGGGUAGAGGCGGCGGCGGGAGGGUGACUGGUGCGCGGCAGAGAGGGCAUGAAGGGGAUUUCCGGAUCCAGGGCUCGACGCAGCCGGAAUGGAAGGCGUGGCGGCAGGCGGGAAGCAGGCGUAGGUCCUCAUCGGGGCCGAAGGGCCGGAGGCAUACGGCGCAGUCCGGCGAGGAUUUGGGGAGGGCGGCGAGGGAGGAGGAGAGAUUGAAGAUGGGGAGGGAGUCGAUCAGCGCCGACUUCACUGGAUCGGAGCUCGGGUCAGCGGUGGACGUGACAGAGGCGGAGGCAGAGCGUGAGCUGACGAGGAGCGAGGCCGCAGCGACGGAGGAGGAUGAAGAGGAGGAGCGGCGGGAGGAGAAGAGGAGUCGGAGGAUGAGGUGGAUAGACACGGAGGCGACGCAGACGCAGGCGAGGAUGGCGGCGAUGAUGAGGAGGCUCGGGCUGAAGGAUAGGGAGGAGGAGGAGGAAGUGUCAGAUGGGAGGUGGUUGGGCUCCACCGCCAAUGGAAAGGGUUGGAGAAGCAGUGGCGGUGACGGAGAAGGCAAAGAGGGGCCGUAGUCCAUGGCGAAAGUGGGGAGAUAGCCUCUUGGGCUUUGGAAGAUAUGCGUGAAUUGUACGGGAAGCAGCCGCUUCUUUCUCUCUUUAGCUUUGCUUUGUGUUUGCUACUUUGGCUUACGUUGCUUGUCGUCCCCCCUCCUCCUCACCCACCUCUCACUGACUCUUUGGCUACCUCUCUACUUUGCCCGUUUCUUCCCCUCUCAUUGCCGUAUACUUAAAAGUUACUUCAUUAUAAGGAAAAACAAUAAAAUAUUUCAUAUUUUAUCUGAUACUGUAAAUUAGUGACUUUAUUUUUUCUUGAAAGUGCAAAAAAGGGCUAACUUAAGAUAUUAUCGAUAUAUUUUGGAGCUUCACAUUAUCUAAUUCUAAUGUAUGCACGACAUCAGAAUCAAAAUGGAAACAACUUUGUAAUCUAUACAAUAUGUCACAGUUCUAUGUGAGCAAAGUUUAUGGUAACACUCAAAAGAAAGAGAAGGUUGCAGACGCUUGUUGGAGAAUAAAGGAUAAGGAGAAUCACCUGUCAUUACAGCAUCCGUCCAUCACAUGAGAUGCAAAUGACACAUGAAAGUCUCUAAUUGAGAUUGCGUAUCUUUUAAUCAUCUGUCACUGCCACCUUAGUAUGUUUCUGUCCCCAUAUAAAAUUGGCAAUUCCAGCUCUAAAAACUUACUUUUUCAUGGAUCAAACUUAAUUAUAUUGCAGCGGAAUGAGCAAAUGUUUAUGAUAGUUUAUUUCUUUGUCAAAUUCCUUCCAAUCUUGUUUCAAUCAAGCAGUACCAAUCAUGAACAUCCAUACUUGUUCUUAUUCUAAUUGCAGUAUUUCCUUCUCUUUUUUAGAUUUUGGAAAUAGAUUUUGACCAAGCUUGAGAUUGACUAAAUGAAAAUAAAAAACUUCAACCUACACGUGAAAGAGAAUGGAUGAAAAUGAAAAAGGAUUAAUUCUCCUAUCAUUGGAUUCCAAAUCUUACAAACAGUAACACCUGCCUAAAGCCUGCAAUGUACACAAUCCAAUGGUCGUAAGCUACAAUGACCAGUGAGUUCCGCCACAGUACUACUCCAUCCCCUUGCUUCUUGACCGUCAACUUCCUUGUAAUAGGAUCAAGUGAAAGCACAGUGAUAUGAAUUCCACUGAUAUCUCUACAUCAUCUGCAAGUUGGCAGUCAUAAACAUACUCAGCAACUGUCCAAAGGUCUCUGUGGAUGAAGCAUGGAUAGGGAUGUAUGAGUAGAAAAAACCAACUGCCUUGUUCCCUCGUCUGAGGGGUGAUCUCUUUGUCACUGGGCCAUGGUUGCUUUGUCUGCUGCACUGGCUUGCCAUGUUUUAUCAGGAAGAGCCCAAGGGUUCCACUGCCAACCUGCACUGUUAGCAUCAGCAACUCCUCAGAAAUCCUAAACCAGCAGUGCAUGUUACAUGCAUCCUUGCAAGGUUAAAGAGAUGAUCCUGUUAGCUAUUACAUCUCUGUAAGUCUUCAUCGACACGUUUUGUAGCUGCUUAUACCUUCUGUCCUUUUUAGAGGAUGCUGUUCUGAAAUGUAGGGUAUGGGCGUCCAUGUACACUGUUUCAGCUGCUGCAUGAGUUUGUUUGUGUUGGAGUCCUACCUAUGGCUUCCACUGUGUUGUCCCUUGUCAGACCAAGGCAAUUCUUGCCUGAGGAAGGAUGAGUCUGUAGGCUUAAGGCAUCAAAAUACCAGCUAAUUAAAAUGGUAAAGCUCAAUCCCAAAGGUAAGCUUGAAUUAACUGUUAUGAUUUCUGUACUCACAGUAGCACAAUGGUUUCCAAGAUUAAACACAUAUUUUCUCUUGUACUGCAUCAAUGGAUGGGAAGACGUUUGCCAGCCAGAGUGAAGCAAUCACUGUUGGGAAAAUAGUGUAAAAACUAAAAUAAUAAAACCAAAGAUCAAACCAACUGAAAUAAUAACACCAAGACAUAACGUUAUAAUAAAAUUCUUAAUUGGUUAAAGAGAAAUAAUAUCCACCGACCAACAAAGGGAAAUAAGAUCUUAUCUCUUGUAGUAAGAGCCAAAAAACACUCACAAAAGGGGAAAAACUAAGGAGGAACCAAAUGAUAUGAUCUUUCUUUCUCUCUAUUCCUCUCUGCACUAAAUGGAUUGGAUUGAGUUCCCCCUCUACACAUCGGUGCCUUGUUUACGUACUAGAGGGGAGAGUACUCCUACAUACACAUGUUUGCUCUAAAGAUCAUAUCAGUGAGGAUGUUGCAACUUCCCACAUCGCGUCCACGCAUGGAAGGUUGCAACCUGCCCUCGUCCCCGCGGGUGAAACUAUCCAAUCGCACGGACAUGGUUGUAAUUGCCUCCUCAUCCUUUUUAUUUUAUUUCUUCAUAAUCUCUCACUAGACCACAAGAGAAUAUGGUCCACGUGAAUUUGUCUUAUAAUAUUUAUUUGUUUUGUCAUAACAUUCAUUAGGUUGUCCAUUGUGUUGAUCUUCUGCAUAUCCAUGGUUUACUGUCCGUCGUUACUUCUCGAAUAAAAUAAUAUUGACCUUCUAUAUGUUUUAUCAUAGAAUGGAAAGCUAGAUUUCUCUGACUUUUAUAAUAGAAGGAAAUAUCCUUCUAUUUAUACCCGAAUUUUUUCUAUUAACCUUCUAAUCCAUAUCACCUCCUUAGCAUACUUGUGUAGCUGCUAUAUUUUAUACUUUUGUGGUAGAUAGAGCUAUCACAAUCCGUAAUUUUGAAACUUAGCUCACUGCUCCUCCUACAAGUGUAAACACAUAGCAGGGAGAGAGAUAUAUUAAUCAAUAAAUUCUUUUAUUUUUAUUUUUUUUAAUUAUUAAGAACUAUUCAUUUAUAUGGUAUAUGCUGCAUGGACCAAUACGUAGGCAUGCCUUUUUUUUAAUAUUUGCCUAAAAUAUUGUAAGUCUUUGAUUCAGAUUUCAUGACAAAAAAAAAAAAAAUCCAAGGAGAGAUAUUUUGAUCAAGAAGUUCCUUUAAUUUAUUUUUAAUUAUAAUAAACUAUAUUAAUUUUUCCAUUUCAACUAUAUAUGGUAAUGAUUUGGAUCCUCAACCAUGAUCAACUUAUUGUUGUUAUUGUACGAGAAAAGUUAGGGGGAGACUUAAAAGAUAUCUUACUAGAAAUUAUAUACAAUGAUUUAAAUAUUUUUAAUUAAAAAUAUAAUUUUUUAUAGACUUUAAUGAUGAUAAAAGAUUCAUAUAUCUAAUCUCAAAUAAUUAAUAUCUUAUAAUUUUAUUGAUGUUGUUGAAUCAUGAUUUUACUGUUCAAAUUAUUGAAUCUCGGAUUUUGAUGAUAAAACCAAUUGAAAUUGUUUAUAAUUUGAUCUACGUUUUGAGUAACGCAUGAAGUUUUGAUAAGAGGAGAAAAUUAAAACAGGAAGAAUCAUAUUGGGCUGGAGAAAAAUAUGUCAAAAGAUUGGACGUCACGUCGAAGGAUCGAUUAACAUAUCGGUAAAAGGCUUUGGACCAUGGGUUCCGGCAUCGAGUCAAGAAGAGCAGAAAUUGCGCUGAGAAAAUCGUAGUUACGGAGGUCAGCUAGCCGAUUGGACAAUAGGUCACAAGAGAGGAUGAUGCACCGAAGAAUCAAACGAAGCGUUAAUGAACCAAUGAUAUGCCCGACAACAUUUGAUUCAAACUUUAUAAUAAUUGUCUAGAUCGAAGUAGGUUUUGAGUGUGCAGGAUUAACUACGAUAGCGAUCAAGUCAUAAAGCAAAAUAAAGUCUCAGAGUCAAGAACGAGACUUCGUUGGGAGUUCGAGAGUUUGUUCCGAACGUUUGUCGGAAGUUCUGUCAGAAUUGACCAAGAAAUCCAGAAGCUUGACAAAGAAGCUCGUCGCAACUCACCAAGAAGAUCGUCGUGAAGUCCAAACAUUACUGAGAGAUCAUCGGAAGUUCGUUAGAAGAAACCUAGACUUAUCGGACUUAUUUAGCUUAGUGUUUGCCUUAAAAUUCAUAGUUAGCACAUAAUUGGGUUGGAAUUGGGCCAAUUCAAUUAGGGGCCAAUUGGCCCAAGUUUGAGUUGUGUUGGGCCAAGUGAAAGACCCAAACAAUGACCCAACAAGUGGAAUCAUCAUGGCAUAGUCUCCGAAAUCGUAUCAAGCGAUGGUACCGCCCAGCACAGGUAAUGGUACGGUUAGGACUCGAAAAAUCUGAGAUGAGACCUUUUUAGACUCCAAGUUUAAAUCUACUUGAGGCUUAUAAAUACCCCUCUCAUCUCUAGUUAACAUACAUAAGCAUAGAGAGCUUAAAAGUGGAAAAAUACUAUUGCAAUCACUUGAGAGAUCCCCUCCUCUAAUUCUAAGUUUAGAAUUCUAUUUAGGGAGGAGUGAGUGUUUGUAAAAGGUUCUCCUAAACACGUGAAAAGGAGACGAGGGGUGUAAAAUGGUAGUUGAUAUUCGCCCAUUGAAGGAAGAUCGUUAAUGGAUGUCCGUGGCCUCGACGGAAGGGGAAUCGGUGAAGUAGAUGUAGGUCACGACGAUCGAACUAUUAUAAAAAUCUUAUUUAUAUUUAUUUUAUAUAAUUUACCUUUACUACAAACUAUAUUUCUAUACGUUUUCAAGUUAAACAUAUUAUAGAUACGGGCUUUGUCAUAUAUCGGAUUUAAUCGAACCUGGACUUGAUCCUAACACAAAUUUGAUACUUAACUCUCUUCGUAGAUAAAUAUUUAUAUAAUAAUCUAUUAGAGCAAAUGAUCUGAAUCUAAACCCAAUUCAAGUAAUUGAUUUAAGAUAUUUGAACAUAAUUAUUUUUCUAAUGCGGGCGUAUCUAAAAUUUGAUUAAAAAGUAAAUUAAUCCGAAUAAAAAAGGAAUAACAUAUCCUGUAACCCUCCCUCUCCAUCAAGAUGCGUGCGGCCAAUCCCAUACAAAUCGUCAUAUCGAUGGUAUUUGGAACACUGCACAGAUUUAACUGGUCAUCCCCACCACCGACCAGAUCUUGUCGGACUUCGUUUUCCACCGCUUGUGGACGCUUGAAUCACGCUCAUGUCGGUCAAAGUCAUCUUCGUUUACUCCGACUCACGAGAGAAAGGACUGCAGAACGAGCCGAGUCAAAAAAGACGGUAGAAUAUUUUUUGUCCUCCGGACCGAAAUCAUGAGCUACUUGGAAUUGAAUGAUACUUUUUGUUAGAAACGUGGCGGAGUUAAAUAAGAAUGAUGGAGGAAAAAGAUAAACUGUUAAUUUUAUUAUAUUUAAAUAUUUAAAUAUCUAUUCACAAUCACAUCAAAACUAUAUUCAUAAAAGAUAAAAACUAAGGAGUGAAUGCUAUUUUUCUAUUUGUAAGAUAUUUUGAUAAUUUUAUAGACAUAUCAAUAUUUAAGGAGAAGAUUUGUUUCUGAAAGAUCGAUAUCGUUUCCAAAAUGUAAAAUUCUACCUUCAUCCAAGAUUAUCAAUUUAGAUCAUCUUUGAUUAAAUUAAGCUUAGUCUCAAUACUUCCCAUUAAGGUUAAUUUUUCUUUCAUUCAAUGUACUAAGAAAUGACUUGGUAUAUAGAUAAAAUAAAAUUUUAAGUCUUGACAUCAACUUCAUUUGUAUUCAUGUACUCUCGGAUAAAAUAAAAUUUCAAGUUAUUAUGUUUUGUUUCUUUCGUGAUACACUAAGUUAUUUACUAGUGCAACGAGGGAUUUAUUAUCGAUAUAAAUUUAUAUUAUUUUUUAUUUGAUGUGUUUUGUCUUUAGCAAGCCUUUUAACCAUAUAGCAUGACAGAUGCCAUAAUAUAUUCAGUUUCACAAUUGAGAGAUAUAAAAUACAAAUAUGGAUGUGUUGCUUCAAAGCGUUUCUCCUCCCAAUUAUUAUCGGAAUAUUAAAAAAAUUAAAAUUAUUAGAACUUGAAUAAAAUAAUCAAUGGGAGAGAAUAUCUUUGAUAUAAUACAAAAUCUUUUUCAUAACUUUACAAUGAGUUGAUUUAGGCUCGUCUAUGAAUCAACUCACUAAUCCAACGUCAUAUAAAAUAUCUGAUCUAAUAUAUGUCAAAUAUCUUAAGCAGUAACUAAACUCUUAUAAAAAGUUACCGCUAUUGUUUUGCCUUCAUCAUCAUGACACUAUAAUCCAUAUUGGGUUGCAGACAGUCAACGAUUGCAGUCAGCUUCCACCAACGAUUGGAAAAGGAAAACGAAAGGGAAAUCACUAUGUACUUCCCGCUGCCAUAGACGAACCACUCAAUCAGUCUUUCCUUUCUCCUUAUUCUUCUCCUUGUAUAUAAGAGAAGGGACAGAGUUCUGGUAGCAAGAGCAGCAGCAACAUCAAAAAUAUCAUAUGGGGAAUCAUCACCGAGCUCGUUUCACCCUCAUGACCUCCUCCUUCAUCAUCAUCAUCAUCAUGUUUUGGUUGGCAGCAUUGCAGCCGGCAGAGGUGGACGCCGGGCGGCCGAUUCUGAGUAGGUGGGUCGACCCAGAUCCACAGUUGCCGUCGCUGCCUCAGGGUACCACUCUUCCGAGGUCUUCUCUGGACACUUGCCCCGGAUCCGCUUGCCGAAGGUCUGGUUGCGGCAAUGAUUGUCAGGCGCCUGUCAGCGAGCUGAAGCCUCCAGAUCGAAGGCAAAAUCCAUAUAAGACUACCGUGAAUCCACCCCCACGCCGACCAUAAGCCUCCAGUGGGCUUCCCAUGCAUCGUUGAAGUCGAUCGAGUAUAUGCAUGUUUCUGUUUUCUCAGCUUGCUUCUGUCCGCAGCAACAAAAAUAUUCCAAGACAAUAGAAGUUCCUAUUUUGUGCUCGAGUUUUGUCAAGGUUUCUUGGAUUACUGGGUGUGUUAGAUGUGCUUGUGCCAUCUAAUUCGAGUAUAUGCAUGUUCCUGUUUUCUCAGCUUGCUUCUGUCUGCAGUUUGUGCGGGUUUCUUGGAGUACGUGCGUGUUUUAGAUAUGCUUGUGCCAUCUAAUUCGUUUGCUAUUCUUCUUCUAUGUUCUUCGUGUGUUAGAUAUGCUUGGGCUUAGAUCUUCUUUCCUGGCAAUCAACUACGAUUUCAACAAGGAAAACAAGAGAAUCCUAGAUAGCUAGAAAGACGAGUUCUUGGGAUGAUGCUGCGGUUAUUAAUUUGCAGUACUUCAAGCAUAAGAUUCGAUUGUUGAGAAGAAAUACAUUUAAUUUAGCACAAUUUUGUACGAGGAAAAGACAGCGAAAAGUUUGAAUAAGAAAUGAAGGGUCGCUAUAAAUACAUCAUAGCAUGCAUGAUAGUACAAGUAACCUCUUUUAUCGACUCUAUCAAUCCUUACCUCUCUUUGUUUCAUCUCUAUUAUGCUGGACAUUGGCUGCUUUAUGAUUUGGAUUGGGUGGAUAAGCUGUUAAGACUUCUAAUAUGUACAUGUUCUGAGAAAUUUAAACUUAAUUAAAGGAGAAAAUUGAAAUCUUUCUUUUACGAACAGAUGGACAAAAGAAUUAUAACAUCUAGGGUUUGAAUACACACCAUGAUAAAAAAAUGACCAUGAAGAAAAAGAUUAUAUGGGUUAUAAGAAGUAGAGAGUCAAUAGUAAAUUUUAUAGGUUGUACAUGAUAAAAACUAUAUUGAUGCAUGUUGCUUCACAUUCUCUUUCUCUCUCUUUUCUUUUCUUAUCAGUGAAUACAUAAAGAUUUCUUGAAGGAUACAUACACAUGGGAUUGGAUAUUGAUGCAUAAUUAAAAAUUUAAGGCUUUUUAACCCUAACUAAUGUGAGAUUGUUCAUUUGGUUGUUUUAGAUCUUUAUCUUAUACAUGCAUGUUUUUCUAGCAUCAGAAUUGUUAGGAAUAUUUCUCAUACUACAAGGAAUAUUUAUUGUCCUGAGGUUAGUCUUUGCAUAUUUAUAAAAAAGUUUGGAACUUGCUUAGUUGCAUGAUUUCCUAAAUUAUGAUUCCCAAGCAUCUUUUUUUCUUGUGAAUCUGACUUGGUGGCUGUUGAUCGGCUAAGUUAGUCAACCAGAAGCCUCUGAGCUUAGAAGCUGGUAGGUAUACUCUCAACUAUCCAUGGAGAUGGAACUAAAAAUGUGGCUUCUUGCCAAACUAUGAAGAAGACUCGUCAUAAUCCACCGCCGAUCCGCGGUGGUUGGAACACUGCAAAAGAUUGUCUGGUAAUUAUCCAAUUCCAGACAAAUCUGAGGGCUGGAUUCUGUCGUAAUCUAGAAGAGCUCCUGUUUCUUACAGGCACGCUGCAGCCAAAAGUCAGUCUUCGUGUUUACUGCUUCCACUCACAAGUCAGUCCUCCACUACAAGCUGCAUUAUAAAAGGAGGAGGAAAGACAUGAAGCAGCAUCAACAGAGAUAUAAUCUUUAUUUGGAGAUUUCAAUAUAUGGGGUAUCAUCAUCACCCAGCUUCUUUCAGUCUCAUGUUCUCCUUCAUGGUCAUGUUUUGGCUGGUAGCCUUCCAGCCCGUGGAGGUGGACGCCGGAAGAGGAUUGAUUCAGUCGCUGCAACCAGGUUUAUGGUUGAAGUCGCUGUCUCAACAUUUUCUGAAGCCUCCCCAGAGUAGAUCCGGCUGCAGGUUCAAUCAGAAGUGUGAUCCCCGAGAUCCUGUCCGUGACAGUUGGCAUUCUAAACCAAGCCAAACCCCGUAUGGGACCUCGCUGAACCCACCACCACCCCGUCGAUAAGCUUCCUUCCUGCCUUCCUAUGUUGGCUUCCCAUGCAUGCAUCGUUGCAGUCGAUCGAGUCAGUCAUUCUGCCAGUAAGAAACCCCAGUCUCAGCUGUCUGGGUAUAUUUUUCUUUGUGUUCUCAGCUUGCUGCUCUGUGCACUACUUGAUAUAUAGUUGGCACAUCAAAACAAAUCUUCAAAGAGAAUAUAUCAUCUAAAGCUUUUAAAAAUUGAAGAUGCAUGGAAGCUUAAUUUGCCUCAUCCCUCUUCCUUCAUGGUGACGGUGGUGGUUCGGUUUUGACGUGACGUCGCCUCUUGAAUUAGUGCGCAUGCAUGGAAAAGGAAGAAUGAUUUGAGUUUGACCAUCUUCCACCGCAGAUGGUGCAGUGUUGACUGCAUGAGUCUUGGGAAUGAAGGCACUGUGACACAGUAUGAAGCAUCCGACGUUCAUUCUGACACUGAUGUCAGAAUGAAGGCACUGUUCCGACGUUUAAUUCUCGAUCGGCAUUAGUAGUAUUCAGCCACAAAACCCUGCACAGCUCGCAGAUGCAUGCAGCCCCUGGAUCGAUCGCCUCUUGACAUCUGCUGCUUGUUGGAGAUGUUCGCUCUCUCAUCGUGCAGAUUCAGAUGCAGAUCGUAUCUGUCUUGUAUAUACAUCUAGCACGAUAUUGCUUUCUUUAGAAUCAUUUGUUUCCUAACAUUUCCUUGGAAUUAGAAUUAAACUUAUAUUAUUUUUAGGAUCCUAUUAAAAAAACAAUAUGAUCCAUCCAAAAAUAGCAUAACUCAACUCCCAAUCUCUCAAAAAAAAAAUCAUAAAUUUUUUAAGAGACAUUGUAAACGACAUGUAAAACCUAAAUGGUCAUUGUUUUUUUUUAUUUUUACGCUAAAUUUUCAUUGGUUUAGCAUAUGUUGGCUUUUCUAAAUUACUUUGGUUUAGCAUUUGUAACCACCAACUGCAAAUGCAUUACUUUGCAAUUCUCUUCUUGUUGAUUUGAUUGUUGGACAAUUUCCAAUCUUCCAUGUAAACAUUAACAUUCCAUAGAUCUCAGAAAGCUUUGGUCCUGAAAGGAAAGUUGCAUUGCAAUUCAAAGACAAGAAAAAUAAUAAAACUACAGGAAGCUUGAGUUUGGAAGUAAUCAAACAUUCUGCAUCACAUAUAUAGAACAUGUAACCGACCUCUUGUAUCACAUAUAUAGAACAUUAGAAUCUACCAUAUAUUUGAUAGGUCAAGAAUCUAAGUAAAUAUAAUUCAAAAUAAGGAUAUAUAUUUGUGAUAUUUUCUUCCGCUGCUAAGUAUGGCACGAAAGCCUAGUGAGUGCACAAGCAGAUGCGCUUAUAUCACAAUUUCGUCAAAUUAAAUCUUUUGAAGCAUUUGCCAUGGGGAGAUGGAGCACAAGAACGUUUAGUCAUGUCUUCUCACAAAGCAGAAACAAAAUUAUGACGCCAAUGGCAAUUGUGGCAUAUUACAGUAAAACAAGAAUAGGAAAAUUUAAAGUCUUAGAUCCUAAGCGAGACACAAAGUGAAUUGGAUAUAAAUAUUUUGUGUAAACGAUGGUUCAAAAUUUUGGGUACCAAACCCAUAUUGAUCGCUGGUUGGACCGGUGGAGAUCGGGAACGUACCGGCAGGUAUGGCUGCAUACAUGCCAGCGUAUCCGAGGAGGAAAAAAAGGGCAGAGAAGGAGGAUACCGAGAAGGAAGAUGGACAGUCGCAGUGAAAUGGUGAUCGGGGUUUGGGGACGGAAGAGGGGCAACUAAGCCGAGUUUUUUUUGCAAGUUACCAUGCUGGAGACCGACCCGGACCGGGCCAGAAGCCUUGGUCUGCAUUUCCAUUAAGCCUCGGACCGGGCCAGAAGCCUUGGUUUGCACGUCAAUUAAGCCUCGGACCGGGCCAGAAGCCUUGGUCUGCAUUUCAAUUAAGCCUCGGACCGGGCCAGAAGCCUUGGUCUGCAUUUCAAUUAAGCCUCGGACCGGGCCAGAAGCCUUGGUCUGCAUGUCAAUUAAGCCUCGGACCGGGCCAGAAGCCUUGGUCUGCAUGUCAAUUAAGCCUUGGUCACAAUCUUUGGUCCAAUUCUGCUUACUAUUUUCGUAAAUGAAAUCCAGCAACAUAAAAAUUUGUCUCAAAUUUUUUAAGUGCCUUCAGAUUUUCUUAUAAAUAGAUGCAAUAGUCUAAUCUUAAGUGUCUUAUCACUUUCAUAAAAUCUCAAAUACUGGAAAAGACAGGAUCUUUUUUCAUGACAAGAAUAAUAAAGUCAUAAAAUUUUAACUAUUUGAUCGGCUACAUGAAUCUUUUAUCAUAUUAAGAUCUAUAAAAAAUUUAUUUUAAAUUUAAUUAAAAAUAUUUAAAUUUUUAUAUAUAUAAUAGAUUAAGAUCUUUUUUAGGACUUCGCUACUUCUCAUUAAAUAACUUAUAAGAUGAAUGAUGACAUAGGAGAAGCAGAAAAGGGUACAAUCAUUAGUGAACCAUACAUCAUUAACACACAACAUUUGUGUGAACAAGAAACACAAGAGAAUAAAAUUAUGGUGUGUGCGGUAUGUUCGAUUUUGAUGGAAACACAUGGUAAUAUAAUUUUUAUCACCAUUCAUAUGCAAGUAAAUAGAUUUGAUAAUUAGUAACAAUGGGUUAAUUAUAUAUUAUCUCUAUAAUUAACUAACUUUAGUAUUUCAGUUAUUAUCAUUUUAAAAGUUAUAUUGAGGUCCAUAUAUUUACGAAAGUAAAAUAUUUAACUCCGUUGUUCUAACAAAAUCUUUUUUUUUUAUCUUAUAAAAUUAUCUUUUUAAUCGUGUGUGUAUAGGGGUAUUAAUAUUUCACUUUGGUAAGUAUAAGGAUCCUAAUAUAAUUUUUAAAAAAUAUAGUGAUCGAAAUAUUAAAGAUAACUAAUUAUACAUGCAGCUUUAUUUUUCUAAUCUCAGAUACUAUAUUUUCAACAAAUCUUUGCAGAAAAAUUGAAGUCAAACGACGUUAGCAUUAGCAUUACCAUCGUAAAUGCUUUUUGUGUGAGUAACAUAAGAGGGGAACGAAUUCCCUGCAUAAGUGGGCAUUAUUAAUAAAGAGAAAACAUUAAAUGAGAGAAAUCCUCAUACAUCCUUUACACUAGGCUUUGGAUUUAACUAUGUAAUGCCGAGGUUUUGGAAUCAUCGAGAGCUAUGGGCUUUGGAGUUGCAUACAAAAGUGUUCCUCGAGAUCUCAUGCUAUAUUUUGCACCUAUCCUUAAGUUAGUAAAAGAAAUGAGGGAUUCCGAAACAAGUGUUGUUGUUGUUGUAUACUCUAAUCGCACAUACCCUCUUUUCACCUUUGGAAUUAAGUUUGUAGAUACGGUUGCAUGCAUAAAAUCAUCAAUUAUUAUUGGAUCAUUGAACCGUCAAGAAUUAUAGUUGUUGCGUGCAACGUUUGUGCGAAUGGGACGGGUGAAGAGUUGACGUGAACUGAUGAAUUGGACUGACGAUAUAUCAUGUAACAUAAAAGUCAGACCCAACGCAUGAAUGCGCAAGUACAAGCAUCCGCAGAUGCAUGUAAGUGGGAGACAACACGUCGUGCUUCCCAAGCAACUUCUUUUUCUUCUCCUAUUGUCCACCCAAGUUGCCGGUUGUCGAUGGAAGACCAGCGUGAAGAACGAGUCCACCCAAGUUGCGAGAUGUCGAUGGAAGGCCAGCGUGAAGAAUGAGUCCACCCAAGUUGCGAGUUGUCGAUGGAAGGACAGCAUGAAGAACGAGUCCACCAGAUAAGAUAUAUUUUGACUCAAGAUACAUCAGAAUCCGAUAUUAUCGGUCAUCGUCAGAAUUCGUACUAAGGCACUGCUCAACAUGUCAUCUCUCGAGAAUCCUGAGGCAAAGCCGCUCCUGAGACAUGCCAAGUCAGAAUCCGUACAAAAACACUGUUUGGCACGUCCACCACGUCAACCUGCGUACGACCGACCCACGUAUAGUAAUAUAAAGACCUAUGGCCAGCAUCUAGCCAUGAGGGUAAAAAAUCAAUUAAUCACUCGACUGAUUUACUCGUUGGAGGGGCCUCGUCGGAUAGAUUUAAUCCACACAUGAAAUUAACAUAGAUUUAAUCCACACAUGAAAGGAGGAGACACUGAACAAAAAAUAAUGUGUGUGAUGAAGACAGAGAUGAACUAAACAUUAUUCCCACAUUAGCAUUGAAUAAAGGAGUUCAAUAUCAUUUAAUGUACAACUUUAUGUUUGGGCUCAUUUAACUCAUAUACAUAUUAAGAUCCCAACGUGGUUUCUCGAGUCACAUAUGACGAGGAUGUCUUUAAAAAACCAUAAUAUUUCUAGAUGGAACAAAAAUUAGUUAGCACGUUGCUUACGAUUAACCUUAUGCUUUUUUGUUCCAUUAUUAAUUUAAUUCGAACUCAUCUAAUUUUAAAUUUUAACAUAGAAUGUCAGAGUCAUGAUCAAUUCGACUCGGACUCAUAUAAUUUCAAAUAUCAACAAAGUGAAUCAUACUUGAAUCAUGUGGAAAUCUUAUCGUGUCCUCAUUGAGCAUUCUCUUUUUUGAUACAUUUGCCCAAGUCAUAAAAUGUGGUUUUCCCAUUCAAUUGCUUGCAUCUGAAUCCAUGACUUUGAAUGUAGAAUACGAGGAUUAACUUUUCUUUUUUCCUUCUCCCUUCACUGAAAAAAUCUUCUACAAGGAAUAGGAUUGUAGAUUCUACUGACGAUAUAUUGUUAGAUUGUUUAAUAUGUUCAAGUGUCUACUGGUUGAACUUAAACUUUCCAUAAAAAUUAAGUAGGACAUUUCAUAAUUGCCUACAACCAUAUAUUAAGUAAGCUCAUCUAUGGGAGAUAGCAUUAACCUAACUAUAUGUUAGUAGUUUAUAGGCUAUCAAAGUAGGAAGUUGACUCGGAUUCAAUCUUAUUCUUUCUCGAGCCUAUCUUAAGAUGGAGCUUUUCGGGUCGGAUGUUAAAAACCUAUAAAAUUUUAUUAGGGGCAUUAUCAACGAACCUCUAAUGCUUAAGUCAAUAAUAUAGUCGGACAAAUCGGACUUAAAAUUGUUUAAUAUGUUUUGGACAUACUUGUAUGACCCUUUUUAUAGUAGGCACCGAGCGGAGACCAUUAUGCUAUUUAUAACACAUGCCCUUCACUUUAUGAGCCGAGAAGCACAGUGGACAAUUGGUAGGGAAGUAUUAUUCUAUUGAUAUACGUGGUCAAUAUAAGAGAUGAUAGAAUGCCCAAGUCGAGCUGUCCAACUCAUGACUCGAUUGUGCCGAUGCAACAUGUUGAUGACCAAUACCCUGAUUAGACAUGGUAGCACAAGAGGAUGAUACAGUUAGGUACAGUAGCACAAUGAGAUGGUAUAAUCGAGUGCGGCGGUAGCGAUGCAUAAUGGACUAAUGAGGUCAGGCACGACAACACAUUGGGUUAGUACCUCCAAGUAUGACGGCACAAAGGACUAAACAUUGGGGGGCUGAGUGUAGUGGUGCACAAAGGCUGAGAGGCCAAGUGCAAUGGCAUACAAAGGGCAAGUGAAGCCAAGUGACGUGGUGCACAUAGGGACGGGAGGCUGGGUGCAAUGGCAUGCAAAGGGCCAGUGAAGUCGAGCAUGGUGGUGCAUGAAGGGUUUGGAGACCGGGUGUAGUAGCACACAAAGGGCUAGUGAAGCCAGGCACAGUGGUGCACAAAGGGCUAGGAGGUUGAGUGUAAUCGUACACAAAGGGUCAGUGAAGCUAGGUGCGAUGGUGCAUGAAAGGCCGAGAUGCUAAGAAUAAUAUCGAGCAAAGGGCUAAUGAAGUCAAACACAAUGGCAUAGAGGGCCAGUGACGUCGACAUGCAGUGACGUAGAGGGCUGACUAUGGGCACAUGUUGAGUAUGCUUAUGCUUGGGCGAGAGAAUCCAAGAAAAUCCACACAUGAUUUGAUAAUUGAUCACACAUCAUACCCACCUAUGGUGAAGGGGGACGUGGCACAAUCCACAUCUGUCGCAUGGUCAUUACGUAGAUCAUCGCAGAUUCGACAUGAUCUCCUUGACAAUUUGAAUGACCAUUGCAUCAUUAGAAUUAUGCCACGUGUCUUAGGGUGCAUCAGAUGACAUUAUGUGCUCGACUCUCUUUGAGGUGCUCAGGAGCCAAACAGGUAAUGAAGCAUAGGAAGCACCACCUUUGGCCCCCCUAUAAAUAGUGGUUCAUUGCCACAAUUACUCCUUAUCUCAUCUUACAACUUGAAUCUUACGAACAAUACACUCAAAACUAUUCACACAAUGAAAGAUAUGCAAUGCCAUCCUCGAUUUUAACUUUUAAUAUUUUUGAGUCAAAUAAAUCACCGAUCCCAUCACCACCUGUAGUGUCAGCAACAAAAACAAACUUUAUUCUAGGAAGGAGUUGAGUUAAUUGAACCGAUGGAGGCAAAUCCAUUGUGAUGUGACUCUGCCACCUAUGGUAGAGUCCUUCGACUCAUACUCAAUGGUGUUGGCCUCCAACCUAAAGAUGCACUAGGAGGUGUAUCAUAUAUCGAUCAAGUUCGAGUUAGUGCUUACUUGGUCAGGUAACCGACCUUAUGUAUUAAGUCACAUGUUUUACACAAGCAUAUAUGUACUAGAUGUGGGGCUUUAUUUUCACCUCUAUCCUUUUUUUAUCAACGCUUACAACUAUUGGAAGUCACGCCCACCUAGAUAGUGCUAAAUUCCUGAAAUUUUCUUAUGGCAUUCAUUGCAAAAUGCAUGAGGACUCGUGUCUCCCUAAUGCUAACCCUUUUGUUAGCCUGCUUUAAGGGGGUCAGUGUAUUUCCUAUAUGUCCGACCCAACUAUUGGAUUAAGGGUGCUUUAACCUCCUACAAGUCUUCCAACAUUGCCUUGGGGCUAAAGCAGUCGAAAAAAGAGUAGUUUUGUAAACUAUCUUUAGCCCUAUCUAAGUCCACAGUCAUCUUUUAUAUGAGCAAGCAAUUGCUCAUUAAUUGGGGGCUUAAGCCGAACUCCUCGGGGUAAGAAGUUAGAAACUUUCGUUGUUUAAGGGUUUAUUUAAAUUGACUAACUUUAAAAUUUUCUUUUGCAGAUAUAUAUCUCGAGGGAAGUAUCCUUGAAUGCAACACUCAUCCCUCGGGUGGGUGGAUGAAAAGUGUUAUUUCUUGGCCCAAUGAAAGAGAGAUGAGGUCAAUAAAGAGCACCACCAACCUAUCACUAAAUGGAAAGGAUUGGCAGGCCCUUGGGUAGGGCAAAAAUGCAUGUCGACUCCCCCUUCAUUGUCACCCCCACCCAGCUAAUACAGACAUCAGGAGGAGCCUGCCCCUGUCGAUUGGGCCCUCAAUAAGGUCUGACCUCCCUCGCUCAUGGGAUCAACAGGUAGAACAAGAGCGAGCUAAGACUCAUGAGCCUAAGCAAUAGCGACAGCAACAUCUCAUCGCUCAUCUUUUAGACACUUCGAGAGUGGGACCCUCGGUCGCCCUAUAUGGUUCGUUACCUUCAUCAACGAUGUAGAUACUAUAAAUCUGAUAGAAUUCUUAUCGCUAUGAAUUAACGAUGAGGUGAUUACUAGGGAAAGAGGACAUUAGCAUUUGUGUCUUAAAAAUACCAUAAAAAAAUAUUAUGGUCCAACAUAGGGAAUAGAUUCGGACUAGUCGAUACCCCAAAUUGUCCCUGAUUCAAGAUCAUCAAAAUUGGGGGAUUUGGCAAGGGAGUAUUCAUGGUUGUUGGAGUCGAGGGAUUCAAAUCUUCAAGUUUAUCAAAGAUAAAUAUGUGAGGUUUCUUUGAGACAUACCAAUCAGCCCUCAUAGCACCAAACUGUUAGAAUAGUUUCUAAGUUGUCCGAGCUGGAAGUUGACUCAAAUCCAACUUGAUUCUUCUUCAAACGUAUCUCAAGAUGGAACUUGCCAUGUCGAAUAUCCAAAGCCUAGAAAAUUGUAUCGGGGGUAUCCCGACAAAAUUCUUUUAAUGUUUAAGUCAAUAAUCUAAUCGAAUAAGACAGAUUUAAGAUUGUUCAGUAUAUCUUGGAUGUAUUUGUGCGACUCCUUUGAUAGUGGGUGCUUGGGGGAGUCAUUACCUUGUUUGUUCAUAGGUGAGAGAAUCGAUCACAACCACUUUUGUUAUGUUUAUUUAUCACAUGUGGAUUAGGUAACUCGAUUAGGUUGAGAGAAGAUAUUGAAUACUAGGUAACUAUAUAUAUAUAUAUAUAUCAGAUGAAUACAAAGACGACAGCCAUCAAGCAAUAACAAUCUAUUCCUAAGAACAUUUAGUUCCGACCACUCCUACUUAGUCAACCAUCUCAUGAUUAGCUGACCAUAAAACCCAAAGGCUUAAAUCGUAAAGAAGUGACUCAAGAAAUUGAGCUCAGAGUGAUCUCAGUGGUGUGGAAAGAAAGAGGAGGCACCCAAGCUGUGGUUCCAUUGAAGAGACGACGACGAUGGUGGUGGUUGUGGUUGCCUUCAACUGUUGCCGGCGGAGCUGAAGUCUCCAUGGGGGGUGGUGGAAGGUGGCUUGUAGUACAUGCGCGCGGUCUGAGGGCAGUGGGAAUGGAACCGUGCCGCUAUCCUCACCAACAUCUCCACGUACCUCCCCAUCAUCUCUCUCUCUCUCUCUCUCUCUCUAAAUAUUAGCAGAAGAAAGAUGGAAGAGAGAUGCUUCUUUGGAUGGUUAGUGUAGGAGAAAGACAGAUGGCAUCAACGCUACUGCUCUUAUAGCUGCUUACAAUCAGUAUAACAGCACGUAGAUCACAUCUGUGACUUGUCUUUCUCCAUCACCCAACAGAAGCAAAUGUGGAGGGUGUGCCAAAUAAGGAGAAGAAAGAGAAGACAUUGUGCGUACGUCAUUCCUUGAAACACAGUGCAAGUCGACGGAUUCUUCUUCGCAAUUAAUCAUGGGAGGACUUUGCAGAGAAGCAAAGCAAGAUAAUUUACCAGGAAUUGUUAUUUGAUUCGACGCUUUAUGUUCGAGGAGAAUAAGUCGAAGAAGAAAAUUGAAACAAAUUACUUGUAGAUUCUACGAGUUAGUGUCAUAAGAAGGAUUUAUUUUAAAGUAAAUGCAAACAUCCCAUUAAGAGUUUGAUAUAAUCCUUUAUUAGAUGUGAUAAACAACAUUUUGUUAUUUUUGAUCCUAUACUAUCUAUUUAUAAAAUUAUUAUCUUAUCAUUUUUAAUAUAAAAAUAUAUUGUUUUAUUAUUUUGUAAAUUAGAAUAAUAUAAUUAUUUAAUUUUUAAUUUACGUUUUACUAUUUUAAUCAUACAAAAAUAUUUUUUGGGUUCAAUUAUUUAUACAUAUAUGUGAAAAUUAAUAUUUUCUCCCCUUUGUGUAAUAUGAACAAGUUUUUGACUCAAAUUAUACAUAAAGGAAAUUAAAAUAACAUUAUUAUCAUUUUGUGCAAAACAUGUUUUCAACACCAUCUUGUUGUUUCUUUGACCUCACCAAACGCGUUAGUUGAAAUGAAGUCUCCUUCUCCAUUGGUCAACGUGCUACAUGUGUUGUGCGUUGGCCACCACCACAAAAACCGGACGCCGUCCGCCUUCUUCUUCCUUCCGUCGUCGACGCACUGCCUUUGACCUUUUCUUCCUCCUCCCUCCUUUCACGGAUGAAACGAACUCAACAUGGAACAGACAAUAAUGCAUGUUUCUUUCGUGAUGCUUGCCGUGGGAUUUGAAGUCCAUUUGGCGUGUUCUCUUCUGCAAACUUAGUAUCAGAAUCUGAAGCCUGUGAUGUGAUGCUUGCCGUGAGGACCAAAUUGCAGUUAAAUAUUUUUGAGGUAGCGUGAUUCGAUUUCGUCUCUUCUCUUGCGUUCAUGCGUUGUGUUAAGAUGAUUAUGUUCGAAGGUUAUCUUGUUUUCGUCUCUUAUUUUUGCAAAAGGAAACCUUCUAAUGAAAAAUAUUUUUGCAUUCGUUUGAUUAACAUAUUAACUUUUUUUUUCAAAAAAAAAAGAGCCAAAGACAAGAUAAUCAUAAAUAAAAAAAAAAUAGAUAAACAAAUAUUUCAAUCAAAAUGGUGACAACACCAAUCAACAAGAACAAUAAUGGAUUGAUUGCACAGGAAGGAAGAACAACAAGGAUACUCCUACUACAAGUUUCAGAACCCCAAGGACAAUAAUAAUAAUAAUAAUAAUGAUUCCUUCUGCUACCAAAAUUUACCAUAUUAAAUAUUUCGAAUAAGCAAUGACACAGAGGAAGAUUGGUGGCAUACACCCUUGACAAAAGCCGAGUUGGUGACACCCACCCAAGCUGGUAUACGUCGUCGCGUAGUCAAGUCAGAUGCAUGACAAAAUGCUGCCCGAGUGGAUGCAUGCAUUUGGGAAGAAGAAGGUUUAUAACCCACCAACUCCAUCUUGAAUUACAUUUAUAAGUUGCAUGAGAUUCCGUCAAAUUUGUUUUUAAAUAUAUAAAAUUAUUUUCGUGACUCAAACAAAUAUCAGCAACCUCAAAAUGAUGCCAAAGAAAUGAUUCAAGAAAGAACCCAUGGAGUAGUCUCCCAUUGGCGUUCCUUCAAUAGUUUAUUAUCGAAGGCAUGCUUUCUUGCACGGAGGUGAUCGUUAACACUGGUGUUUAUGCAGUAGAAAAGAGAUUGAGCAAUCCCCUGCUCUGUAAUCUGUUGUCAGGUGACAGAGAUCUCUGUGAAAAAUACUUCAAAUUUCAUGAAAAGGCCUAACAUAUUAUACGUUCUUCAUGCUCUCUCUCUCUCUCUCUAAGAUAUGAGCCUCGUGAUGAUACAAAUUAAUUACGGAGAAAGAUAUUAUACAAGUAUAAAUACAAGAUGAAAUGAAGAGAGAUGGAUAUAGAUUUUGGACUCACGAGAUGAAAAAUUUUGAUGGGAAUGAGUAUUAAUUCUAAAAACAUGCUUAAUUAUGACAAUCCGUAUAUUUAUUAAGUUGUAAAAAUAAAUUACAGAACCUAUGAACACGAUUGAUUCCUUUGCGGUAAGGGAGCCAAACCAAUCGAAUCCAUGUGGCUGAUAUAUUAGCCUCACUGCUCUCGCUCAAACGAUAUAUUAGCCUCUUUAUGAGUGCCAAAAAACAACAAGAGGAAUCAAAACCAAACCACAAGCGUUACUGUUUGGCCUGUGAGCAAUGGGUGACAUCGGCGACGACGAGAACAGGAAGACAUCACAAGAACAGAUGAAGCCUCUCCUUGCAUCCCCUCACUGCUCUCGCUCAAACGAUGGAACGGAGAAUGAUCUCCUUGGCGCGGAGCCUAACGACGCCGACGUCGACAGCGAAGACGAAGAAGAGGAACAAGGAAAAGAAGACGCCCACGUCUUGGAGGCGUCGUCGGCGGGGUUAGCUUCACCGUCGGUGGCGGUGGGAGGCGGCUUGUAGUACAUGCGGGCGGUCUGAGGGCAGUGGGAAUGGAACCGCCACACGAUCCUCACCCCCAUGUCCAGCAACUCCACGUACUUCGCCAUCCUUCCUCCCGCUCCUCCUCCCUGCACAAAUGCCUGCGAGCGUGAAGGAAAGAGAGAUGGAGACGAGUGCGGGAAGGGUUCCUCAGAAGACGUCCCAAAGGAAGGCCAUGAAAGGAGAGAGAAGGAGAUAGAGGCGUAUGAGGAGGAGGCGGAGGGGGAGAGAUAAGAUCCUGGAAUUUAUAGUCUCUCUCUCUUCCUUAGGUCAUGUCUCACGAUGGAAAGAGGAUGGAGGACUAUUUCUUGGGAGGACGCCGACCACGCAAAGUCCAAUGGAGAGAGAGAGAGAGAGAGAGAGAGAGCGCUAAGAUUGGGGAGGAUGGCCCAAUGAGAUCAUUUCCGGCACAGCAGCUGUGCCGGUUAACACCUUCCUUGGAUGUCACCACUCUACCAAUUCUACCGCAGGUUGGAAGAUACAUAUGGCUUUGGGUUGGUGUCAGAUUCCUCACUUCUGCCACCAUUCACACCAUCUGUUGCUGAGAUGUCUUUUCCUUUAUUGAUUUAUUAUUAUUUUUCAGCAUUCUUUUAUUUUUUUAAAGUAAGAUAUUGAAUGUGCCAAUUAGAUUCUUCUUUUUUUGGAAAUAGUACGUUUGAUGCCUUUAAAUUUUAAUAUAAUAUAUUUAUAUUCCUCUUUAUGUUUGGGCCUUAUAUAUAUACAUACAUAUAUAUAUACAUAUGUAUAUAUAUGUGUGUAUAUAUAUAUAUAUAUAUAUAUAUAUAUAUCUUUAAAUAUUUAAAUCCUUUCUAUGUGCUCAGUAUUCAUUCAGUGAAUUUGGAAUGUUACUUGAUAUUAUAAAAUAUUAAAUUAUCUAAAGUAUUUUUAGAUAUUUUCUUCAAGAAUUUAAAUCGAAACUAGCAAAUAUAAUAAUUACAUAAUUUUAUAACCUAAACUUAGAUUUAAGAGAAUAUGUAUAUAUAUUAUUAAUUUGGCCCUCAAAUUCUGACCCGAGCAGUGAAAUCAAAUCUGAUACACAAAUAAUAUAAGCAUAAGUAUUAACUUGAUCUUAACGUUCGAUCCAUUCGGCUAUUCAUAAUGUUAAUUUUAUAAUUAAUUAAAAGAAGACGAUCUCAAAGAAGGCUGAGACUUAUACGAAAAGCUAAAGAAACAGUCAUAUGUGCUUUGACAAUAAAUUUCAGUUGCAUUUUCCUAAAGGGCUAUGAAAUGGAAGAAAAAACAUUUAAUACAUGCGAUUAAAUGUAUGAAGUAUGAACUGAAAAGGACUUAAUUCUUGCAUUAAUAUCAGGUUGCUUUCAUCCAACUCAUACCACACGUUUCUCGAGAUUUCUUCCUUUAUUUUCUUUAUUAUUCUGGGGAAUAAUAAAUAAAGUGUAGGUUGAUUCCACCCAACCACUCAUGAAGAACAUUUUGGAGGUUCCCAAAAUGAUGCUUGGUUGGUAUCCUCUAAGUUUGCCUCUACAUUCAAGGAAUUUGGAUGAUUAGCUAAAAUAUGUCAUUAAUUAUUUGAAAAGUUCAUGAAUGAGUCGGCACUUGUAGGCAUUUAAUUUAUAUUUCGGAAGUAAAUUAGAAGGUGCAUAUCCUCUUGAAUGGUGUGUGAAACAAUGUCCAAAGAAGAUGCGUUUCGAAGAUGCCAAUUUUGAUAUUGAAACCCAUUGAAUGAACCAAUUUGUGCUAAUUAUGACGGUUUGUCUUUAUUUGAGAUUACGUUGAUUAAUUGUAUUGAGAUAAGUAAUUUAUAUUAUUUUCUCAUCUUAGGGAAAGCUUUUUUAUUUUUUGAUAUAUAAAAAGAAAUAGAAUGAAUUUUCAUCCCAAUAAUAAGAGGUGCAAUUAUGCUCGAUAUCUUAGGAACAACAAUCCAUUCGACAAGUCGUAUAGUAAAAGUCAUGUCUAAAAUGUCAUGGCAAAGGUUUCUUAUAUUCUAGGAGUUUCAUUUACGGAGUUGAAAAGAUAGAUGAAGUGUAAGUUGUUCGAGCUACUGAGAAUAUUUUUUGAGAUGAAGAUUUACUGUAGUACAAAGACUAUCUCAGAUAGUCUAGCAUUCAGCAUGUAAUAAUGGGUUCGAAGCUGCAAGAGAGACUCUCACUGAAUUACAGAUUAAAUAAUUAAUUUGUGCAGAAGAAGUGUUAAUAGUAAAUGAACCAUCGCAUUUUAUAAUAAAAUCACGGAGAACAAUCGUAGAAGGAGAUUUUGAGAUGAUGGUGGUGAAGUCCUCCUCAAAUUGCUUGGAGGUGAGUUUGCCAUCGACACAAAAAAAAAAAAAAAGGGGCUUGGACUUUGCACCAAAUAAUAUUAGGAGAGAGGGUACGAUUGUGAAAAAGCCCAUCAUUUUUAAUCUUCGAGAACAUGAAGGUUGAAAUAAUAACUAGUAUGAUAUAGUAUAUUUUGACAUCCACCCACGUGACACAUUAGCUAUCAUAGUAGACUCGGCAUGACAUCUUUAAGUCGAUGUGUCGCAUCGAGCCAUCCCAACACCAUGAGCCCGAGGUCAACUAGUCACCUGAUGCCACCCCCUGCACCCACUCCGCUCGAGGAUGUACGGGGCGACGUGAUCAUGUACCGGGCCACAUAAGAGGCGGGAAGCAACGUCAAACGAGACUGAAUCGAGCAAAUCAAAGGACGCUUGCACCCAAAGCACGAGCCGAUCGCCUACGGUGUUAUCGAGUAUUAAACACUCGCAUACGAUGACGAUUGGAGAUUAUUAAAGUUGCUACGUACGAUCGCAUGUAGGAACAAGUAUAAAAGCCAUCCCCAGGAACAGUGCUAAGGUUGGACCUCAUACACACACUCCAACUCCCUCAUCUCCAACUUUUGCUAACUUAAGCAUGGAAGGAGUCGAGUCAAGAAUCCCUCUCCCGAUUCCGAUCUGAGCACCCAACGGACAGCUAAAUGAGUGAUCUUCAGUUUCUACAUGGGAGAACGAGGCCUAUGACCCCCUUAACCAAAUCUUGGGUUAAUAUACUCUAGCUUAGAGAUCUUGCAUACUUCGGACGGGACAAACCGUAUUGACACCUCAGCCACAUAAAGGUGCAAAACAAAGCAUAAUGCAAAAAGAGUUUUUAUCUAGAUUGUCUCCUUCAUAGAGUUGCAUACUAUUUGGUCGAUCGUUAAGAUAUCAAAAACAUUACCCAACAGUCGAUUGAAUGAGGUUUCAACGGUGUAGCUAGUGCAAGGUAGUAAGUCAAUUCUAAAAUAGUUUUCAAAAAAUUUGACUCUAUAACAAAGAACAUUAAUGCUCCAAAUCACUAGUCAUUCAAAGCCACUUAUGCUUAUUUUAAAAGUUUAUAUAAACUUUUAGAUACAACCAAUCCUAAAUGAUGUGGCAUCCAAAACAACUGGGUAAGAAUAUAAAUAGAGGAUAUAAAUUUUACUAAGUGUGGGUAGGGAAGCUUGUUAUUUGUGAAUAUAUGUAAUUGCUUGCACUUACAAACUUGAACUACAUAUUUUAAUGUAUUAUUAUUUUGAAGCAAUCAGGAAAAUAAUUUUACCCAGUUAUUUUCUUGGGUCACUUUUAUUUGCAUCGAGAAUAAGUCAUCUAUGAAGGUUAUUUUCCUGGCUACAAUAUUUGACCAGAUAGUAUAUUGAUUUGACCAGUGAGAAUGAGUCAUAUACAUUGCAUCGACGUGCUUGGCAAGUAAUUGAAGGGAAAAAGUAAGCCAACUCAAACCUGGUUGUCUUCCAAUUAGGGCCAAGUUUCUGAGGUGUACUUACUGGAUGACUACAACAUCUAACAAGUGUCAAGUUAAAACAUCAGUAUCGGCAAUCAUCAAAGAUAUAAAGAAACACAAACAAUUGUAUGUGGCAAAUUCUUCUUUGGUUUUACCCACUUUUCCUUUUUUAUCUUUCUCUGGGAUGAAACGAGGUGAUGAGGUGUUUGGAUACAGAUUAUGAGAGGAACAUGAGUCUAAUAUGUGCAGAACAAUAUGAGUUUAUUGAUCAUCCAUAGAGGUAAAUGGGUUGUUGUCCACCACAAUGUUUGACUGAGAGUGGAACACAGCCAGUUUGAUUAUGCCAUGUCUUCAUAAUUUUAUAUUAGUUCCUUCCAUGCAACUAAGCUUUACAGUUACCAGAAGCGAGAUGAAAAGAUAAAGCAAAUGGCCAAUUCAGAUGGUAUUAUCAAGGCAGAAACACUGCAUGACAUCUUUCAUUAGGUGGAGAGUGGAGCUGAAGGGGGCAGUAGCAUCAGUAUUACACUUUGUCAUCAUGGAACCACCAUCUAGUCUCCUUGGGAGACCUACCAUUCCUACAGUUCCUCACGUAUCGAUCAUUAUCAGGCGGACGUUGCUGAAAUCACAAGAAAUAUUUCAAUCUUUGUGUUGAAGAAAAAAGAUGUUCAAAUGUGUAGUGAUGUAUCGACUAGGAAUGUGAUGAAACCUUUGCUGUCGAGCUGGAUAGCAUGGAUAAAAUGCUGAUGCAGACAGAGCUUACAGUCAUUGCUGGUGACCAGGAGUCAUAUAAGAUAUCUGCCAAAGAAACCAAAAUAUAUGUUAAGAAAGCAAAUCUUCAAGAUGGAAACAAGAAUAAUACUAGUUUUGCGUCCACUUCUUGUUUAUAAAAUUCCACCAAUUCAAAAAAAUCUGAUAUCGUUUCCUCAAGUUAAUCAACAUGAUGGUGAAUAGAAUUUGUCUUCAAGGAUGAGAAACAAAUGAAAUAUGUAUCUGCAUGUGUCUAUACAUGCAAAGAUGCAUAUAUUAGUUGUCCAGGACAUACUCUAAUCUCCCAGCUCAAACAUUCUGACCUUGAGCCAUGAAGGUUCCUUUAAAAUGUGUUAAGUUGCUAUAUAUAUACAAGAAAGAGAGGCUUACAUAAUAUAAAAUAAACAGAUAAUAACUAAUAUAUUGAUGAAACAACCAAGCUAAAUAUAACCACACACAGAGAAGUAGACAUUAGUCUAUUGACUUAUUCAUGCCUUGCUCUUCACAAAGAGUUCUUUCCUAUCAACUGUCCAAUAUAUAGCGGAAUCUGGAUGAAGCAACCAUGGUAGCUACACAUAACUAAUAAGACCAACAGCUAGUCUACCUAGGAAAUUGCUGAACUACACCCUUGUUCAGUUAAUUCCCUUAAGGUCUGUCAUGCUUAAAGACUAGCUGGUCUGAUAGAAUGAGAUCAGGUUUUUAUUACCUCGAUGAAAAGAUUGGAUCUCAUUAUUCUCGACAAAUCAGAAAUAAGCCCUAAAAUUCUCCCCUCCCUUCCUUCUUCCUUUGUUGCCACUUAUCACUUCUAAAAUACCAUUUGGAAAGUCUGGAUCAAUGUUAAACCUAUCUAUGAAGAAUAAGAUGGACCCUGGCUCAUGAUUAUAAUGUCACCUUACAGAUCAUUUAGUCAUGCUUGAUUAAUAUGCAUGUCACUAUUUUUUAUUAUUCAAACUUAAUAUAAGGUAUGCAUUAUCUGUAAAAAUUGCAUGUUCUUCAUGAACAAGUCAAGAAAGCUCAUGUAGUACUUAAUCUACUGUUACUUGAUACUUAUUUGCUUUUAAUAAAGGUACUAGAGGCUUCCAACCUGUAUAUACUAAUUUUGGCAUGUAUAUCUAGUUAAUACUUCUAUUGUUAUGUCCUUCUAGCUUGUGCGCUGACAUACCACACCCAUUUGUUUGUGUUUGCUAAAUUGUCUACAAACCAAGCAGCAUUAUCCUUUUUGAAUAUUUACAUCAUCAUCCCCCUGUGGCCUAUCCUCGUAAGAAUAUAAAACUUUUGCUGUGCUAUCAAUCAUCAACCAUUGCCUAUAAGGUUAAGACACGCAAAAGAACAUGUAGGAUGUACAUUUUCAGAAGCCUAAUGCUGAGCAAAUGGAAUCUAAACUUUUUAACUAGACAUAUGAAAAUAGUUACCAAGAAUGUUGAAUAUUUUGGGUCAUGUGAUAUGUUGGCAGAUAAGGGUAUGCCACUUAGAUUAGUCCAUCAUAUGUGGUGAGUAAGAAUAGUUGGGUUUGACGUUUUGGAUCACAGUACAUGUUAAAUUGCUUAAUUGAAUUGUGUUAUAUAUUGAAUCAGUUAGGUUGCUUGUGACCUCUUGUGAGAUAUCGUGAUCUUAAUAAUUAUCUAUGCAUCUAAGAGGAUCAAUAUUAGUGCUUUAAGACCACCUGAAAGUUACAGAUUUUGUUUUUAUCAAUUUUUUUAGUGCUUUUGUUAUUUUAGGCAUUUUUAAAGGAUUAUAGAGUAAAAAAUGUUGGUGGAUUUUAUUCAUCUUUGUAACUUCAACCUGUAAAGAAAAUGAUAUUGACAAGAAUGUACACAUAAUUUUGACAUCCUAUACGGCAUAGUACUACAGUAAUCCAAGAUGCAAAAGUAUAGUGAACAGGAACAAGGAACUAGCUGAUGGUUCAACAAGGGUAUCACAAUCCAAAUAAGAACUAUGAUCUAAAUUCUGUAAGCUAAUAUUGCUAAAAACUCACAUAAAGAGCCUAUCUUGAUAAUGCCUAUCAUUAAUUGAUGACAGUUGGGAUGCAAAACAACCAGAGGAAUAAAAUGAUGAUAUGUACUUAAAACAGGCCAAAAGGAUGAUUGUGCAUUGUUCAGUACCAAAACAUCUACGAUUGGAUAAAUUAACAAGUCAUGCAAUCAUGCCACACUGAAUACUUUUGCUGGUGAGGAAUUACAAGAUUUCACUAACUGGAUUCACAGAGUAGUUUAAACAUCUCUAGAAAGGAGUUCCACAAGCAUGGUCUGAAGGAUCAACAGAUCUUCCAACCACCAUCCCUUGCCAUACUGAGUUGAUGAGAAACAAUCGAUCAACUACAAUCAACAUAUUUUCCAUUGAUCCCAACCAAUGCCAGGUCAAGUUCUAAUCCCAUGCAAAUUUCAGCCAAUUAUUCAUCGCAAAUUACCAUAUAUAGAUAUUAGAAAUAUUUGUGUUCUUUUACCUGAUAAUGUAUAUUUGGAAAAUUUUCAAUAAAUUUACCAAAUUCUUAAGGAGCCCACAAGUAUUUUUGAAUGGUCCAGGAAAGGAAGUUGAACUGAAUGAAAUAAUGGAUUGUUGGUCAUCAUCAUGUAGAAAUUAACCUUUUCCAAAUAAGCAAAUAUAAAUGGAAGAACAAUAGUAGUGAUUUGGAUGCUUGCACAUAAGAGUUCCCUUUCAGCUAUGGAAGUUCACUACACCAAUCCUUAAAAUCUUUUUGGUCUACUUUAUAUAAUCAUUCACAUUAUCCAAAUAUUAGAGUGCACAUAGGAUCUCACUACUCAAAGUCUUGAAUUAACUAUGUAAAUGGCCAUAUCAUGCCCAAAAAAUAUCCCUUAGAAUCAAGGAAUCAACCAACAAUAAUGCUAGGGUUCACACAAAAAAAAUGGAUUAUCGAAAUUAAUUUAUGAUAGUCAUGCAAAAGAAGAGAUUGAUCUUCCCAUUAUAAAUAUGGAUGAAUAACAUGCAGACCAGCUAACCACAUUGGCCAAAUUUAACAGAAACAAUGCAAAAAAUAAAGGAUAGGAAAUUUUCUCAAUAGUCUAGAAACCUGGAUCGACAUGACAGAUGUGAUGGCCUGAGCUUUCCAGGCCAUGAAGUAUCAUCAUAUCCAUGUCAUCAUGUGCCUGCAUGCUCACUAGCAUGGACCAGCAACAGCAAGCAACAAUUCUUACAAAUUUGUUUUCCACAUUUAGUUGGUGUCACAAGCUUCUAAUAUUAUGAAAAUUUAUAAAGGAAAUGAUAAUAUUGAUUGUCUAAUGUAAUUAUCAGUCUUCCAAGUCUCUGUUCUUACAUGAUAAAAAUUCAGUAUAACAUAUAUCCAGAAAAGAAGUUCUGAUAUUUUGCAACUUUAUAAGUUAAAUGAUCUUGUGCACAACAUUAACAUAGAAAUCAGGUGUCCGGUACGGAAGAUAUAACCUUGUUAGGAGUUAUUUGAAUAUCUAUAAUUUCAAGGACAUUAUGCCUUAGAUUGGGCCACAACUACACUUGAGUGGAUGAUAUUAUAUGGUAUUCUUCCCCGAGUGCUGGUGUGAAGACUAAUGAGGAAAUUGGAACAAAGAACAAGAGCGGAUUAGCAACCAGGCGGCAUGAAAAAUCCACCAGAGGACUGAUGAUUGAAGAAACAUGCAUAUCGAACUGCGCAUACCCUUUGGAGUCUUUUAUGGUAAACAAAAAAACGAAGGUAACCGAAAAAGAUUAUCUAAAACAAACUAGCUCCUUGACUAAAAGAGUUUAGCUAAAUAAGAAAGCAAUUAAUAGAGAUAGAAGCCGAUUCAGCACACAUCUCCACACCAUUCUUCCAAAGGAUGCCUAGUUAAAUGCGGAUCAAAACAACGGUUUGUUGAUAGAAGAAGACGAGAGACUGUUCAUUCAAGCAAGGAAUAUUUCUGGCACACAAGAUACGGCUGCAACAUAGAACUAUUCAAUUAGAUCAAAUUGAUCGUGGGUUCCAACUCAAGCAACGAGAAUUACCUAAACAUAUGUGCCCGUUGCUGUAGAUGUGCGGAUGAAGAGGCGCAGGAUGCAGAAAUAUGACCUGAACAAAACCCACUAAAUCAUACUCCAAUCAUCCCAGCUAACAGAAAAUAAGGAACCCUUACCAAGACGAUCCAACGAUUUCCUUACCUGUGGAGCUUCCAUGGGAUAAUGCUCCGGGAAAUCGACCUGCAGCUGGUACUUCUCGUUGGCAUACAGCGUGCCGGGCGCUCCGAUCACCUCGAUCACCCACCUUGGAAGGAAAGAAAGAAAAGAAGGAAUCAAGACGCUGGUCAAAACAAGAGGAGGGCAAGGAGCGAGAUGAAGACCGAGCCCCAACCUUUGGAGGUUAUCGGUGACCUUGUGCUUGAAACCGGCCGGUGGGUUGACUUGCCAUUCCACCAGCUCUUUUUGGAGCCUGUUGCAAGCGAUCUUGCUCAGGGCCUGCGAUCAACCGAUGCAUACGAGGAGAAAUUUAGGACCAAACGGUAGAGGGGAAAUCGCAGGAGGAAUCGGAACACGAUGGUCGACGAAGGAAUCCCAAGAAGAGGAGAACGACCACCUUGCGAGAAGCGGCGGAGGAGCUGGUCAUGCUUCUGCGGCAGCGGCGGAGAAGAGGUGUCGUGCGGAGCGAGAGGUAGAGAGAGAGAGAGAAAAGGGGGCGUCUAUUAUGCAUUUAAUAUAGUAUUCUUUUCUUAUCUUUUUUCAAAAAAUUUCCUAAAAUUCGCCCCAAAUUGGAUUUUAAUAUCUUUGAGAAUUCGACUCGGACAUCCCAAUCUCAUCAAAUACCAAAAAGCUAUUGACACGUCAAUUUUUUUUAUUAUUUUUGUAUUAAUCGAAUAAAUUGAUAUUUCACCAAAUUAUACUUACAAAAUUCUCAGAUAAUAAAAUAAAUCUAUAGAAAGUCUGAUAUGAGUUAGAUAAAUUUAAUGGUGUUUUGCGUUGCUCUAAAUAAUAUUACACUUAAUUAUGGAAUGAAAAUAAAAUAUAAUAAAUUAUAAAGGCUCCUAAAAUAUAUAAUUUUCUUUUAAAGGAUAAGUGGUAAAGGAGAGUUUGGAUCUAAACUUUAUAUUAUACUCAUUUAUGAGUAUAAUAUUAUAAAGUUUGUCUUUCAAAAUAGUAGGUAAAUAUGAUGUACAUAAUAAUUUUAUUUUUGGAUAUUUUCUAAAUUGGAUUUCAUGUGUUUUCAAGUACUCGAAUUAGUCAGCCUCAAUCUUCCCCGAAUAAAGUCAAACCAUACAAAUGCAUAUAUGGAGGAAAGACUACCAUCUUCUUCUGCUUAUACAUCGCUCUUCAGGACCUGAAGGUGAAGGACAUCAUAGUCCUCAUCUGUUUGCACUCUUUGAGCUCUGUGCUUGAGACAUUGGACUCAAAACUAGAAGAGCUCGAGAGAAUUUGAAUUGCUGUCGAUAGCUCCAAACUUCUUGGCAAGCUGAGAGAACUCAAGAAGACUCCACCUGAUGCAGAAUGAUGUAUGUUCUCUUCAAGUUAGAAAUCCUUUCGCAAAAGACAAAAAGAAGAAAAGCAAAAUGCUACAGGCAACCACACAUGAUUCCUGAACAGCCUUCCUUGUGAAGCUUAGAAUAUAAUUAAUGCAGUAUAAUCCAGUUGGUCAGACAGACAGUAUGAGAUUAUGAAGAGGUGAUUGAUUGGAUUGCAAUAAACUUAAACAACAAAAGCUGACGACCUAAAGCACCCAAGAGAACUAGAAAUCUGGAGUCUACUUUGUCGAGGUGCAUUGCCCUGUGUAACCCCAUAGUCUAAUUACUAGCACCUGUCAUCACUGCAUUGAAGAAGGAAGCAGCAUGGAUUUGUCUAUCACAAGAACAGUGCUAUCUGACCAAAAAGAAAUAAGCAUUGUCACUCUUCUUCACAUGACAGAUCUGCUUUGGUGCUCUAGGAAAUGUUUGCCAUGUCCCCCCUGUCAUCCUGUACUCGAAAUUAGUUUGCAAAUUAGGUCAACCAAGUCCAUCUGGAAGUCCUUUUCCUCUUUGACUAAUAAAUAUUUAUUUGAUCAUGCAGCUUGACUAAGAGAUACAUGCACCUUGAUCUAAGUCAUGCAUAUGUCAACGUUUUCCAUUGAUCAUCUGUAAAUAUUUCUAGUUAAGAUUAAUUCUUUUCAUGGGCAUGAUGAAUCCAGACUGAUUUAGCUAAUCAAAUACAUCACCAGAUUAAUUAAGUUGGCUAGGUUUUAGUGUCAGAAAAGGCACAAUUGGUCAAGCAAUUACUCUUGGCAUCUCACAAAGGAGCAUAACUUGCAUCUUUCAGAUUGCUUAUGCUUUGCCAUAAUAGAGAUGCUAGAAUAGCUUUGGUGAAAAGCUACACUUUGGUGAACUUUUAUCAUUCAGAUAGGUUCCAUUACAAAGGUAUAAUAAAUUCAUUACCUACCAAGCAUCUAACCAUUGUUAGGCAAGUGCAAAAGUCGCAUUUCCAUUUAGGUAGGACUGAAAAAUAAAGGAACAAAACAGGUUCUCCAUAACAUCAUUAAGCAUCAGAAUAUUACUGUCGCAAGUGCUCAACUGGACAGUACAUAUCCUCUCCUUUUUGAACUAGUAGAUUCUGGAACAGACUUCAAAGACUCAGAAAGGAGCAACAUUCAAUUUGCAAGGAAUAAUAAUUUGAUUGCAAUGACUUUUUUUUUUGGAAUAUAUUGUCAAUCAGGUACCUUGUGAACUGUGCAAAGAAUUCUCUGUUCCUAUCAGAAAGAUCAAAAUUUUCUUGACGCAUGUCAUGGAACUUGAGAAGAUUUUGUGUUGUGCAAGGCAUAGAAGUUUCUGUACAAACUUCCUCCAUGUAAAUGUAGAAACUGCUAUCAGGGAAAUUUCUUGGUUUCACAUUCCUCUGAGAAAUGUAGGAAUUUGACUAUUCCAAGUUGUUCAAAGUCAUGGAAGACUUCAUUAGUAGUUUCCUACAUGGAAGUUUCUACUAGAAUACAUAUCUCUAUGCUGCCAUCUUGAUAUAUUCUUUUCUUUGUCUUGAUAGAUAUUACUCAGGACUGGUAUCUGGUAAGUUAUAUCCCCCAUUCCAGUAGAAGUCAGAUCACUCAAAAUCAAAGAUAAAUUAGAUCCACAAAUUUCCGUGAGCAAAAUGCAGAAAGAAAUAUAUGAGAGAUUUCCAGAUUUACAAGUGACCAAACAACAAAGCAUAAAGCAUACCUGAUCAGCUCUGGACACAGCACAUAAUAAGUAGAACCGUUCCAACUCAAAUGCAAUUGAAGUUUAUUUACCUGUCAAAGUGUGAUAAAAUGUUAAGGCUUAAAUGAUAGCGUAUCUUCAAAUGCUCAUCAGCCAACACCAUAACAGCUAACCAAAGCAGCAGAGAAAUUAUUGGAAGUCAAACAGCCCUACAUAAAACAAGAACAGACGAAGCACAAGCAAAUUUAACCUACAAAAAGCUAAUGAAAUAUUUACCGAUCAGUGUUUUGAAAAGUACUAGACGCUAAAAGGUGACAAAACACUGAGUUACCUAAGUACUCACAAAUAUAUAUAUAUAUAUAUAUAUAUAUAUAUAUAAUGAGAAGAGGGAGGAGAAAUUGGGUAGGAGGAGAUUGUUAGGUCUGAGAAGGAUUGCUAGCUAUAGUUGGAAGGGAAGAUUGUUAGAAAGAGGCUCGCGGUCCAACAACAUAAGGUAGAAGAGGCUUAUAGUCCGACAGCAUGGGGUGAAGGAGGCUCAUAAAAGGAUUUCGUUAGGUUCCUUUUACUAGGUUGGGCGUGCAUGAGAGAGGAGAGAGGAAGGAAGGGGAGAAUAUAUUGUGAUUAGUUGGCUAGGUGGAGCCAAUUAUAUCAAAAUGAUUCAAAGCAUACUCAGAUUAGAUUAGGCGCACACUUGAAUCACUAAUGCUUGGGCUUAGGCGGGCAGCUGAGUGGCGCCCUUUUUAAAUGCCUCGCCUUGACUUAUGAGGCACUCGAGCCUUGUCUCGUCCAAGUAUCUUUUGAGAAUAUAGAUCUUAAGUAAAAUAUAACUUUUUUUUCAAGAAAAAUCUCAAAACUAUCUUGAAUGUGAUGUAAUCUUAACACCAUUUAAGUUUUAUUAGAUUAGCCGCUAGCCUACAUAUUUAAUUUGAAAAUUUAAUAUAGGUUUUUCUUUACUAUUAAUUGAUGGUUGUUUGUUUAGGUUUUUCAUUGCACAUCAACUAUGACAAUACAAAGCAAUUAGGAUGCUUAUAAUGAAUGUCAUUGGAUUUAUGCAUGAGCUUACUCAUGCAUCAACUAUGACCAAACCAAGCCAACUAUGACAAUAACAAAACCAAGUCAUCUAAUACUAUUGUAUUGUCAUAAUUGAUGCAGAAAUAUUAAUUACUUUGUAACCAAACCAAAGACAACUAUGAUUACCAUAUCAUUACUCAUGCAUAAGAAGUCAACUAUGACCAAACUCAUGCAGAAAUCCAUCAUCGUUGGAUUUCUCCAUAAGUUUACGUAUGCAUCAACUAUGACCAAAAUAAGUCAACUACGACAAUAACCAAACCAAGUCACCUAAUACUAUUGUAUUGUCAUAUUUGAUACAGGAAAUAUUAAUUACUCUGUAUUUUCUUUAAUUCACCUAUGACCAACAUAUCAUUACUCAUGCAGAACACAAAAUCAAAUUGUAUCAGAAUAGACUUGUGAAAUUUAACUCUUUGAAUAAGAAAACUUUACGAUCAAGCCUAUUGAUGGAUCCCUUGAGAUCUAUAGGCCGAUCAUUCACAUGAGGGUAGGAUAUCUAUACUUCAGCCUUGUACUUGGCCCCUGGCAAGAUCUUCCUCUUAAAAUGGGGAGAGUUUAACUUGAUAAGAAAGAUAUCCUUCAUUCUGGCAUAACUCACUCAGGCACAGGUGAUUGUGAAAAGGAUUUUUUUAUUCCCUCUAAGGGGCUACUCAAAAUAUGAUUUUUAGAACACGGCGUGCAUUAGCACUACAACUUUCAGCUAUAGUUUGCUAGCUUGGCGCUAUUACUAUUUCUUGUAGGAUGACCACAUUUGAAGUAUGUAUGUCUUGUAAAGUGUGUUUUCGGGAUGUGGCAACUUGUUAAGGAGCUUUAGGCUUUAAGAAGAAGAAGAAGAAGAAGAAGAAGAAGAAGAAGAAGAAGAAGAAGAAAUGUAACGAUCUGAAACUGGCCUGGAUCGAUCUUGUGCGAUCGUCUGGCCUGACAAAUUCGAGACAACCAAGAUGGUAAGAUCUACGAGAAGAAAUCUUCGGCAGAUUCUUCUUCUCGCUGGCCACUCCCGUUUUCUUGCUAAUGGGACGCACUUCAACUAAACGAGACAAAUAAGAAAACAGUAAAAAUCCCAACUUUAACACAGAAAGGGGAAUCGGAGCAGAACUCGUACCUCUUCUAUUGCGUUGAUCCCAACUUCGUGCAUCGUCGAGUGCUUGCCUUGUAAGAAAUUCUAUGAAGUCAACUUGUGUUUCUAAAUCAUUGUAACAGAAACACAAUAAACUAAUGCGGAAACGAAAUAGCGUACCUUCAGCCAUUGUCGUCAAGAAUUUCUGCAGAGGUUUCUUCUUGAACUUUGGUUCUUCUCGGCUCAGAACUCUCGCUUUAGAUGGUGUAGGAAAGCCUUUCGCUUCAAAGAGAUGAUUGAGCCAAGGGACCAAAAUCCUCAUGUAUAUAUAGAUGUUCUCCCAUCAAGAACAUUUAUCAUCACCAACUCAUAACGUUCAAGAAUUAAUUCAAAUUUGUAACGUUUGGACCAUAAUGAAGAACUUAAUGAUAUUAAAUAUUUAAUUUAUUAAUAACGGUUUCAUGCAUAAAGAAUAAGAAACUGAAAUCAUUUAAACCAUAUUAAAUGAAGAAAUUCAUGAUAAUGAAUUAUGAAUCUUAAUGAGAACGGUUACGUUAUUAUUAAAUCAGAUAUUUAAUAAUAACCGUUACAUUCUCCCACUUGGUCCAUACGUUUAUCUUAAUAAUUUGAAUUAAUCUUUCUCGAACAACUUUAUUAAGAAAUAAAUACAUGAAUCAUAGCGAUAAGUCCUCUAAGAGCGAGUAUUAUCAUCCAUGUAUCACGAUGUAUUUAGUUUCUUAAUCUUAAUGUGGUAAUAUUACUUUAUGAAUAAACCUUAUAUUUAUUCUUGGUCCAACAACAAUAUGNNNNNNNNNNNNNNNNNNNNACAUGCCUGCCGUCCACCAAGACGGUGCCGCCGCCGGCUUGUUCGUGACCCCGCCGUGAGCAUCCGGCCGGAGGAGACUACAUCGGCGCAGGAUUCGAUCGAAGAGGGCGAUGGAAUUGGGAGGAGAGAUGAAACACCAGGAGAGGAAAGUGGGCCGUGUCACGGCGGGAAGAAAUCGAACUUUGGCUUGAGGCGAGUGUACUUUUUUUCGCUACCCGUCUGUUUACCGGUUGCAUUUAUCUCCUUGCGCUCCACGACAAACGGGCCGAUGUAUCCAAUCAUAAGGCAGGUAGAGACGAAGUAUAAACGAGUAACAAUGCAAUUUCUUUUUUUGGUACUGCGACGUACACGUUGCCAAUUGGCGGCGAUACCUGUGACUCGACAGAUGAACCUUCUCCAAUGAGGAGGCUGGUAGAUAAGCGGGUAAAGAUCGAACGCUGUAGUGCAAUAUUUCAGCAUACACCGUAAUUCUAAGUAUGUUAGAGAAAAGAGUAUAUAUGUUAUCUAUCUUGUAAAAAAGUUCUUGGAGCUUAAUAUUAUGGAUUCAGUUUAUCGAGCUAUUUAGAUGAAUGCAGAUCACAAAAAAUCCAGGCUGAUGAAGCAUCAUCCACUUGGCAGACACUGAUUGGCCGCAGAAGGAUAAGGAAAUCUAUCCACCCCAUCUUCCCCAUCCAAUAGCCUUGCCCUCGUUCUUGUGGUGCAUGGCCGUCUUCUACUCCCUUAAACGACACCAUAAUACCCUCACAAGUACCACAGAGAAGCUCCACCCCCGAGGGAGAAGGCGGAAAUAAUGGCUACCAUUGGCACCACAGCACCAACCUCAGCCUUCGUCCGCACCGCCGUUCCCAGGCGGCCGACCGCCGUCUCCUCGCCAGCGAUCGGUAGCGCUCUACACAGCCUUAGAUCCCGGUGCUGAUUCCUGCGUCGAUCGUCAGCUAACAGUGGUAGUGUACUUGUGUCGAACAGGUUUGCCUCGGCUGGGAGGCAGGGGCGGGAGGGUGAAGUGCUCGACGGAGGCGAAGCCGUCGGCCGGAGCGGGGGCGUCGAUGCUUGCGGCGGCGAGCGUCAUGGCGGUGUCGAACCCGGUCCUGGCGCUGGUGGACGACAGGAUGAGCACGGAGGGGACGGGGCUGAGCUUGGGGAUCAGCAACAACCUGCUGGGAUGGAUAUUAGUGGGUGUGUUUGCCCUCAUCUGGGCUCUCUUCUUUGUGUACACUUCCACCCUGGAGGAAGAUGAUGACUCUGCACUCUCCCUUUAAGCUCUCACGUAUAUAUAGGCUUUGCCAUGGAAAUCAUUGGAAGCAUGCGUGCUCGGUUGAGGACCGGUGUAUGAUCUGAAUGCUUGUAUGGAAACACUUCAUGCUGUUCCCUAAUUUUAAGUUCUAUUAAUCGUAUCGUAUGUGGCUGAUGGUAGAAUUAAUCGACUAUCGAGAACUUGUUGUGUUUAAAGCACUCUAUUACUUGCUCAACAAAAUUUUCUUGCAUUUCAUCUUCUGAAAUCAAAAGAACAAAAAGGAUGUUAUAAAACUGAACAAACAUUCAAAAGUUAUGGGAAAUCUCAUACAUAUUAUGGUGUCAUAUUUAGUCAUUUUUACAAAAACUAGAGGAACAAACUCGCAUAUAUUAUCCUAUCCCCUGUAAUUAAAAUUUUUAAUAUUUCAAUCUUUAUAUUUUCAAAAGUUAUAUUGAGAUCCCUAUAUUUAUGAAAGUAAAAUAUAUAAUCCGUUACUUCAACAAAACCAUUUAUUUUUAACUUUCGUAGGUAUAAAGAUCCCAAUGUAAUUUUAAAAAUAUAGUAAUCGAGAUACUACAGAUAACUAAUUGUAGGAGAUAAUCUGUAAUUAGCUUGAGAAGAAAAGUCACAUCCCACUCAAGUUUAUUCGAUCAAAUCUCAUCUUCCCACACUUAUUUUUGUAAAAAGAAAAUUAUUGUAAUGUGAGAAGAAACCUUUUAUUCCUCAUCAAGCAAAUGCAAAGAACAAUAAAAAAAAAAAGGGGUUCGUGCAUGUCAUGGAAAAGUGGCCGAUUUAGAUCAGGUUGGCUAUUUUUCGAAAGAAAAUUAGAUUGAAUUUUUCAAUUGCUAGACUGUACUAAAAUAUGACUAGAUCAGUGGACAAAGAUAUGACGGGCAAUAAUGUCAUGAUCGACAGUGAUUAGGACAUAUUUUUUGUGGAAGAAAUAUAAAUCAAUACCUAAUAAGAUCGAUUUUGAUUAUCAAUUUGACAGACAAAAACCGAUUUAUUGUGAUAACAACAGAAGAAAAGAAGUUUAAUUGAUCAAAGAAAAUUUUGAUCAAACUAUAUCAAGGCUAGUUGAUUGAUUGCGGGCAUGAUAUGCCUAUGAUCACAUUAAGAUGUCAAGUAUGGUAUAUACUUUUAUAUAAUAUCAAAUUUACAAGGAAUACUUUUUAUCUCGAUUAUCGUUACCUGUGUUAAAAAUGAGAAGUAGUGCUUUGGCCAUAGGUGAAUGCAUCAUGUCGAAAGUGGAUUAUCUAUUCAUGUCAAGUCCAUUCUAUUCUACGUGGUUCUUUUUUGUUUCUUGAUAGAUUCAUCGCAUAAGGGGAUGCUCCGAUCUGAUUGAACGCAUUAGCUGCCUUUUUGCCUAGGUUGGAUGCAUCACACUCGGGGAGACGUUUUCAUUGCAAUGGACACACCUUCAAUGUUUUUUUUGUCCAUAGUAAAUAAAUAUAUUACAUGCAAUGAGAAUAUUUUGAUCACGUUGAAUGUUUCAGAUAUCAUUUUAUCUUAAAUGAACGCAUCACCAAUUAUACACUUCUUCAAAUACCCUUUUGUACUAAGUGAAUUCAUCUUGUGCAAAUGAGAAGAGUCAUAGAUGAUAUUUGUUUCAAUGAGUUUUUAUUCAUGAUUAAGAAUUGUAUCGUAUAAAUUUAAUAUUGUAGAUUGUAUGUCAUAGAUUUUUAGUAAUUUAAAAGAAAAGAAAAGUUAUAGUUAAGAUAAAUGAAUAAAGAUCAAUCAAAGUGUAGGAUAAUUAAGAAACAAUCAAUAAAUAAUGAAAAUAGAGGAAACAUAUAAGAUUACACCAUUUGCAAAACAAUAAAAUGGAAAAAGAUCAUUUAAGAUAAAUAGAUACAUUCACGAGAAAGCUUUAAGUAACGCGACUAUAUAAGAUUAAUAUUAGAAGAAGAGACAAACUCCAAAUCAACGAUUAUAAUACGCCUAAACAAAGCUCAAUGUCGAAUUAGUGCGGAUCUUGUAGUCACAUUUGACAAGGCGUAUAUAAUUGUGGUGUUGAACCGAAAUGUCCGAUCCAAAUUUGAGAAAUUAUCGGAUCCGGAUCCACAAUUCAAACAUUCGAUUCGAUUCGACCCGAGUCUGGCUCGACGAAACCAUAUCUAGCUGUUCACUCACGUGCAUACCACGUGAGAAAUAUUCCCACAGGCGUUCGAUACGACCAUGCCGUUAAAAAGGAAAGAUUCGUGCACGUGACGAGGUGCAUUAUGGUAAAUUCGAGCCGUUUUCCCCCGUUCAUCGUAUCACGCACAUGACAAAAAUGGCGCGAAGUUGUCUCUGAUCUCCCGCCCCUUUCCGACAACGCUCCCUUCCUCUCUCCUACCCUAACGCCACGCACACACACACACACUCUCUCUCUCUCUCUCUCUCUCUCGCUUCUGAGCCACCCGAAGUCCGAUCCUUGGAUCAGCAUGCUCCACCAUCCGUCAGUCGACAGCGCCACCGCUGCGCCCAAGCUGGCGGCGCUACCCAAGAAGAGGGGCAGCUACAACUGUGGCCGCUGUGGCCUCCCCAAGAAGGGGCACACCUGCCCCUCCGCUGACGGCGGCCCCGCCCCGCUCCUCCCCCGAUCCGGCCACGGCCUCCGCCGCGCUCUUUUUUCCGACGAGGACCGGGCCUCCUCCGCCCUCGUUCCGGCGCUGGUGGACGAGGAGGUGGCCGGGACGCCGGUGCCGGAGGUGGUUGAGGAGGAAGAGAAGGAGGACGACGAGGUGGACUGGACAGAGGAGGCGAUGAUCCUACCGACGUCGUGCAUGGUGGAGGUCCUGAAGCGGCUGUCACCCAUGGAGCUGAUGCGGGCGGCUGCGGUGUGUCGGGGGUGGAGGGGUUGCGUGAGGAGGAUGUGGCGCUCCGCGGAGGAGCUCAGGCUUAGCGUUUCGCCUCGAUCGCAGAUCGGAUUCGUCGGAUCGCUGCUCCAAAAGUGCGCCGGAUUGUCGCGGCUUACGCUGAGAAUGGAAAGGUCAGGGCUUUCUCUGUGGGAAGGAAGAUAAUUGUGGAUUCCGCCACUGCAGCAAUAGAAAUUAAAAUAGACUAAUUUAUGGUGAUAAAAAAUUCUAACUUUUGUCCGAAGAUUGCUAAUAGAUGAACUACAUUAGGGUUUGCCUUAGGUCGUUGUUUUUUGGGUCAGAUCUAAGCUUCCAGAGCUUGGAUGAAUGAUCGAUAUGCGGCAAGUUAUGAUAAGAGUGAAAGUCCUCUACAUAGAUGGCUUUCUAAAUGAAUUUUUGAUCAGAAAUCAUUGAUCGUAGCUUUCAUUUUGUUUUCUUCAGAUCAAUCCACGGAGGUAAGUCGGGCACUGUGUUCUAGAUUGCUAUUUCACAUGUUAUGAUUAAAUUUGAGGGAGCUGUGAGAAGAAAAUGGUCGAGAUAUGGGUUUUACUUAACGAAGGAGUGGAUGUAUUCCUUUUAUCCUGCAAGACUCACUCUCUCAUUUCAAUUUGUCUGUGAGAUCUGCAGAUCCUAUGGCUUUUACGUUGAUGUGUAUAUGUGUUUUAAAUCGGGAGGGACGAACAUGCAUCAGCAUCUGUGAUAGAUCAGGAAGGCCCUGUCGAUAUGCCUUUGCUGAUCUAUUAACUUGGCUGUAUAAUUGACCAAAGGUAGGACAUUGUUGAUCUGCAUCGUGCUGGGAGUAUGUAGACCUUAAUACCAUUGGCAUACUACAUUUUGCAACUUAUGUUUCUUUCAAUUAUGUUUCCUCGUUUCUUUCUUUCAGUCUUUUGUUUGUGUCGGAUCUGGGAUCUACAGAUCUGUGCUGAAUGAUUGAUAAGUACUUAAGAUAAAUGUUGACUUCUUACUAUCCUUAUAUUCUUUUUCGUAUUGGCUUUUACAUUUGCCUUUUUUUAUAAUAUGUAUAAGUGAAACACAAAGAAUGCUGUGAUAGCUAAUUGCCUAUGACAAAUAUAUAUCUUUGAAGGUGCUUGAUGGGGCUAGAUUAUAAAUGAUAUCUAAUUGUUUGCGUUGCUAUUUUGUAGCAGUAUACGUGUGACAGUUAAGUAGGACGUUGCCUGAUGGAAUACUCUUUUUUUCUCUUAUUUUGCAGUGAUGUUGAUGCAACAAUGCUAGCCUGUGUUGUGUUCUCACUGCCUAAUCUAGAAGCUUUUGAGAUAAACAUGACCAAGAACACGGUCAACCGGAUAACUGGGUAAGCCACUGACUUUUAAGCACAUUCUGUCAUAUGAUUUCUUCAUCUAGCUGUGUUGGACUUUGAAUAUUCAUUUUUUUGUAGUUUCUAACGUGUCUCAUCCGUAUCUUACUACUCUUACCUGUUCGAUCUUUUAGAUGUCUCAUCACUGUGAUGUUACUGAUCUAAUACAUUGGCUUGGGGACUCAAUGCCCAUUUUUCUUCAGAAUGACAUGUUCUAAUUUGAUUUGGAUGCAUUUAUCAUCUUGGAUCUGGAUUUGUGCACAAUCUGCAUAUAAGAUUGUGCAACACUGCUAUAUAUAUUUUAAUAAAGGUCAUGGCAUGUGUUUCACACACACACACACACACACACCUAUCUGUGUACAAUUUUUUGAUUUGCUUUCCAAUAUAUUUUAAUAAAUUCAACCAAAUUGAGGUCCAUUAUUUGAUUUACUUUCCAAUUUCAUAUGCAAUGGCGUACAAUUUUUCUUCCGAAUGUUUAUAUGCCACCUAUCUGUCCUGCUGUAGGAAUGAGUUGAGUCGUUUUGUUUCUGAGAAACGAUGCCUCACGACUCUUAAAGUUGAAGGUUGCACCAACAUUGGAUUUCUCAAUAUCUCUUCAUCAAGUCUAUCGACACUUUGGCUAUCAAAUCUUUAUUGCAUUUCAAAAAUGGUAUGCACUUCUAUGUUUUCUGCAACAGUUAAUCUGGGUUUUAUUUAUGUCUUUUUGCAUGUGUUCACUAACGUUCAUUCUUGAUAGGUCUUUAAAUGCCCUAAUCUGAGAGAGAUUUCUCUUGAUUUUACUCGACAAGAAAAUGAUUCGACAGAUCUUGUUACAAUGAUGGAAAAUUUGGGGAGCAGCUGUCCAAGGCUAACAAAUAUCCAUAUUGCAUCAAUACAACUUUGCAAUGAAGCUGUUCUUGCUCUUACAAGUGCAAACCUGAGGUAAGUAAUAUGCUCUAGAAAAGUUACUUAAGAUGCUUGAUACAUGACACUGGUGCUAAUGUCAAAUGUAGCAGAUGUUAAGGCUCAAGUAUAAGGAAAUUUAAUUUAUACAGAUUCAUUCAUCUGGACCAGAUGAAAUGGCAUUCCAACAGCAUUUUUUGUUCUACUGCUCUUCAGUUCAUCAUUUCAGUAGAUUGAUGUGUAAGUUUUAUUUUCUCAGGUGUUUGCGUAUGCUAUCAUUGGUUCUUGGUUCCAGAAUCACAGAUGCUGCUGUGACUUCUAUAGUUUCGUGUUACACAAGUCUAGAGUUGCUUGAUUUGAGUGGGUAUGCUUCAUUCUGUUAUCAAAGAGUGCUUAAAUGUAGCUAUGAUCUUUAAUGCGCUGGAAUAAAGUUAACUGUAGAAUCAAUUUUUGUAUGCUAAUUGAACUCAUGCUGCUUUAAAGCUUCAUAAACUCACGUGUUGCUGUUUUCUUGCUUUUACAUGUUGAUCUGUAAUUUUUCCAGGUCAAGCAUCAGCGACAGUGGGAUUCGCAUGAUAUGCAAAGUGCUUCCUGAGACUCUAUCCAGACUCCUGCUUGCACUUUGCCCAAAUAUUACUUCGAGUAAGCAUUUGUUCUUCCAUUAUCACUUUGCUGCUUGUAUACUCUGUACUGCGAGCAUUAUCCUAUCAUGUUAGUUGGCUAUAAUCGUACCUGUUGCUUUUUGUCCGUGUCCAUACCUUUUCAGGUGGGAUCCAGUUUGCUGCAGUUCAGUUACCUCUUCUUCAGCUUAUCGACUGCGGGAUGAGCAUAAGUGAUACUGGUUAUCAUUAUGAAAGUUCCCAAGAAAAACUAUGUCCUAAUAUUGAAAGGAGUGGAGAAUAUACCAUGUGUCAGAAAUUAUCCACCAUGAAGUCACAACGGAUCUACCAAAAACUGAUUAUAAAACAUGCAAAUUUGAGGAAGCUCAGUUUAUGGGGUUGCUCGGGUUUGGAUGUAAGUUAAAAUUCAAAAUAAUCUAGUAGAGGCAACUCUAGAUUCUGUAUAUUUUUUCUUUCUUGUCAUACCUUUUGAACUGUCUGCAAUAUCGUAGGCUCUAUACUUGAAUUGCCCAGAGCUUAAUGAUCUGAAUCUUAACUCAUGUACAAACUUGCAUCCAGGUAUUAUGCUGUCAUUGACCUUUUUGAAAUGUUAUAAUGACACUUGGUUGCUAACAAGUUUUGUAAAAUUUAUCAGAGAGAUUGUUGCUUCGAUGCCCUAAUUUGAAAGAUAUACAUGCUUCUGGAUGUCAGGAUAUGCUAAUUGGAGCAAUACGAAAUCAGGUACCGAAUUUGUAAGAUACAAUUAAUUCAUUUGUGACUGACAAAGAGGGCAUUGUAUUGGGUGGAUUGGAAACAAAAUUUCAACUGAACUACCCUACACAGUUGGUGCAAAUAUAAAAUGUACCAGCAGCUGAGUGUAUUGUGUGUUGUCAGAAAGCCUGGAAUUGCAUUGGUUAUAGAAAUCACUGAACUACAUAUGACCCAAUAAAUAGUUAGUUGAAAAGGAAAAUUCUGUUGCAUAAACCUUAAAGAGAUAAUAUUGUGAAGCCAAAAGAUUUGAGUCUCAAACUGGCCGACAUUCUAUAACAAUGUUAUGAUGCAGAAGAAAACUGAACAAGCCUUCCACAAUAACUGAGGACCUUCUCAAUUUGAGGUGUUCAUUAGCAGGUGUAAACUAAUGUUGUACACCUAGUACAUAGAUAGCUUGUCUUCAUGAUUGUUUUCCUGUGAUGGAGUUUGAUAAACUUAUCAGGCUUUAACAUCUUCUUUGAACUUAACUGAGAAAAACAGGGUUGUUCUGAUUCUGCAUGUUGUAUCUUCUUUUUGUUUGUCGUGUCUGAAAAAUUCAGACAAACUCCUGUUUUCUUUCUUCAGUUGUGUUUAGUAGAUGUGUUUUUUUUUUUCAGUUCAAAAUUUUGUAUCGAAAGGGUAUUGGGGAUCUCACUCCUUUCUUUUACAUGCAUUUUAUCUGAAAAACUUGCUGUGGUCACUUUGCUUUAAUCCAUCCCCCUGCUGCAUUGUUUAGCACUUAAAAUUAAAAAAAAAUCCUCUGCAUUUCUCUUUUCACUUAUUUCCGGUACUUGUAGGUACUGAAUGAGUUUGUUGCUGUUGAAAACCAUUUACCAUGUAAGAGACUAGCUGAUGGAUCAAAAAGGGUCCAGGUACCACUUUUCAUUCAGCAGGUGAGUGAUUAGUAUUUCUAGAGCUACACUCGCUUCUCAACUGUCUGGUGUUCUUUUUAAUGUAUCUCCAAUAGACUGUCUAAUGUUUGAUGCUGCUUGCAGAUAUCUGAUGGCAAGAAGCAGAAGAGAAGACAGAUGACGCAAUGCAUUGUUCAUCAUGUCUAAUCAGCAACUAGUAUAUGUAUCUGUUAGCCAAUAAUAGCAUACAAAAUCAAUUAGUUUCUUUUUGUUAAGCCUUAAUCCUUUUUGCUGUAUCAGCCAUACAAUUGGGCUGCUCUAAUCAGUAUAUGUCUGCCUUUUUAGAAUAGACUCUUGGAGUUUGGGGGGGUUGAAAAGGAAUAAGAAUGCUUACGAUAUCUUACAUUUCACUUGAAAAUAAAUGUUGAUUCAAUUAAACAUGACAAUAGCCUCCAAAGGUUUUAGCAUCAGGCAAGUUUAACUUACCACUAUGAUUUUUCAGCUUUAGAUUUGGUUUUUUGGUUUUUCAUCCAGUGUAGGUAAUGUAUAAAUGUUGAAUGGAAGCUUCUACCCUUGAAAGCCAAACAAACUUACUGUACCUGUACGGUUUAUAAUUAAUUCACUUUCUCAGAUUAUCAUAGAUUGGCUAUCUUUUAUUUCAGUUGUAUCAAUGUCAUGAUUGUUCAUUGUUUGAUGAUAUCACAUUGUCAUGACAGAGCAGAAAACUCGAUCAGCUUCUACCUUUGCAGAAUCAUCAUCUCCACCCACUGAUGGAGUAAGAGCAUGAUGUGUCAUUUAAGAUACGUUUUUCAGAACACACUAUUUCUUGCACCUUGAGUUUCAGCAAUGCCAAUGAAUCUGUACUUUCGUUCCCAUCCAAUCAAUAUGCAUUGGUAUAUGUUCAAUCUUUUCAAAUAAGAUAGAUCUUUGGUGUUACAUUGUGCCACUUAUAUUCUGAUGAGGCUUAUGAUAAUGUAUCUUCAACUUUAUACAAUCUGCAUUAUUGGGAAAACAAUGAUCCUCAUUGUUGUUGCUCAUUCUGAUACUGAUUGAAGUAAUUCUUUUGGUCAUCACAAAGCCAAUAUGUAAACUGUGAGCUCAAAGUUUGGUUUUCUAGCUGAAUAUGUGCUAGAUUUGUUGACUUCAUGAAGUCAGUCAGGCUUAUGAAUGCCAAAUUUGGCAACUUGGGGACCAAUUUUUUGAGGAUUUCUUUAAGGGAAUUGUUGAUAAACUACAAUCUUCUUUUUGUUUAGCAACUGGUCAUCUUCAAGUAAUUUCGAUAAGUGUUUUUUGUCAUUAGUUAUGACUUUGUACUUUCAUUAUUGGCAGUUUCCAUCCCUCCUUCUCGAAACACCCACUAUCAAAUAUCCUAAUUUGUUUUUUGUAUUUUAAAGAAUAAGCAGUGAAAAGGAGAUUAGAUUGAAGAAUCUUAGUUAGCCCUGCAUUUGUUAUUCUUUUUCAAUCUUUCUUAAUCCAAAUUGAGUUGUCUAUUUAUCAACAUUUAUAUGUUUGUUAUGUUAAGAGAAAAAAUGAUUCUGGAUCUCCUUUAGCAAGCAAUUAGCUAAUCACAUAUGAGCAACUUCAUGUUUCAAUCUUCAACAAAAUUACUUGCUUGUAAGAAGCUUUUGCAAGAGCAGAAUCAACUCCAAACAUGCCAUACAAACUAUAUAAAACCAACAACAGAGCUCAGCAGUCACAGUUAAUAAUUCAUGCAUGACUAUAAUCAAAGAAAUAAAUUUCCCAUUAUCACAAUAUUCGAAGUUGGUAGAAUGUCUAAAGAACACUAGCAAUUAAUUCUCCAAGCACCUAAUUCAAAGCCAAUUACCCACAGGAUUCGCUCAACCUAUUUGCUUCCUAAUUCAAUGAAUCAAUAAUAUUUCUAACCACAACCCAUCCCUGUCAGCUUUAGAUCUGUUCCUCCACAGGACCACAUGAAGGUGGCAGACUUCUUUCUCGUUGACCCAUUCAUCCCCCAUAAGAGAUGUUGAAAUGGUUGCAAGGUUGGGGAACACUCUCCUUGCUUUGAUCAAAUCAUCGCACUGUGCAUGUUCCCCAUCGACAGCUCUCAGCCUUAAAUUACACCUCCAUCACUGGCAACAUGGCUUUGCUAACGCCAAGAACAAAUCAAGGGUGGGGGGGAGGGGAUUCGCUGGGAAGGUUUGCAUUAUAAUUGCAGGAAUAAAAGCACACACUGCACACCAACAGCACUAACACGUAGAAGAGUUUAUUGGACCUGCACACACACCGGUAAUAAACAAUGCAGACAGAUUGAGAUCAUAGCCAACAAGCUAACACCGCUUCAUGUCCUUGGCACAUAAGAAAACCCUCUCACACAGACAACUGCACGUAACAUGUACUGCGACCACGAUAUAGAAAACACAGCAGACAGCAUGGAUAUGCUCGUCCCAGAUCCGGCGACCACGCCUCGUGUUGGCGUUUUGACUGUGAUCAAGAACCAGCUGUUAUCACGGCUUUUGAUUCCUCAGCUUCUACUCUUGCACUUCUCCAUUGCUCUUGGUGCUGCGGUAAGAAGAAGCACGGUCGACUCAGAAGCAAUCCACAAAGAGAGAGAGAGAGAGAGAGAGCACUGACCGAGUCCUAUGGCUUCCGAUCCUUUCAUUAUGCGUAAACGCUUGCAGGAAUCCACAAACAUCCUGGAUUAUUGAUUUGGCGAGAGUAAAUGAUCCAGAUCUAUAGCAGUAUCGAUGGGAAGAAGAUGAAGCGAGUCUUACUCCCAUGGAACAUCUCCGACGAGCAUCCAGUCGCCAUCCUUGUCUUCAUAAGUUGGCACGUACUCAGAACCAUUGAUGAGAUCCAUCAGCUUCCCUUCAUUCGUGAAGUCCCUCCCGUUCAUUCCUUGAGAGCCACAGUUUGCUGUGAUUGGAAGAAACAUGCAACAUAAGAUGAUGAUUUCUCUUUACUCUCGUCUUUCCUUUUUCCAGCUUAAACAAACAGCAGAUGAUGAGAGCUGCAGAGACAAAACUCUAUUUUGAUCUACCGAGCAUGAGAAUUUUAUUGUGGCAUGGGAUACAGUAAUGGCCUCCAUGACCGAGUGGGUCACCAACCCAUGUGGGGUGCAAAGCUCUGCAACUCACAUGGGCACUGUCUCUCAUACACGUUAUGAUUCCCCGAUAGACAUGAUCGGGACGUAUCCACCGGGGUAAUUUGUACGCUACGACGCAUGGUGUCAAGGCUGCAGCCACACUUACCACUGGUGAAGGAGCUAAACAUCUUCUCCAAGGCCAUGGAGAGCUCUUGAUAGCUCCUGUACAUUUUGAGGUCAACCUUACGUAGGUAUGGUGCCCCAUCCAUGCAAACCUUGACAAAGGCAGCCGUGUUGCCCGGCUUCUCUCCUUCCUCCUUGCUCGCCUUCUCGGAUUGGACAGCCAGUAUGUUCUUCCUGUAUGAUCUAACUGGUGGCCAACCCACAACCUGUGCCCUGAGAAUAAAUACGAUUGCAACAUAUGAUCAGUGAUUAGUAGCAGAUAAUUCCUCAUCUUGUGAAAAUAUCUCGAAGGUCUCAACUAUUUCUAUAUCUUCUGUUGUCUCUUUUUUUUGGUAUCUUCAUAUUGACAGUGAAGUUUCCUGAGAUGUACCUUUUUUCUUUUUUUUUUGGUUGACAAGAAGAUGAUAACAUUAGAACAUGUUAUGCAUGUGUCCGGCGGCCUUAGAAUCUCCAGUAUAUGUUUGUCACUUCAUUCAAAAGCUGAAUGCUUUUCUCUCGUGGCAAGCUUAAAAAGUUUGAGUAGAACUUCCAAAGCAAGACUCUCAUGGAGAGAGAGAGAGAGAGAGAGAGAGAGAGAGAGAGAGAGAGAGAGAGAGAGAGAGAGAGAGAGAGAGAGAGNNNNNNNNNNNNNNNNNNNNAGAGAGAGAGAGAGAGAGAGAGAGAGAGAGAGAGAGCAUAUUCACAGAGGAGGUGCUCUCAUCCUUGGUUCCACGAAUGGAAUAUUUAUCAUGCUUGUCUUUGCUAAGAAAGAAAUGAAGAACAGCAAGGCAUGGAUUCCCAUCAUAUCAUGGAAAAGACAAGACCUACACACACCAUACUUCUGUUCAUCCGUUCCAACAAUAAAAGAAAAAAAAAUCAAAACCAUUAAAUCUCAGAAUAAUUUUAUGAACAUGGAAAUAUCCUAUGAACUUAUAUCAACAAACCCCCCACCCCCCAAAAAAAAAAAAAAAAAACAAACAAAACAAAACCAAAGAGAGAAUAUUGAGAGACUUACUUCGGAGCACGAGGCCUCUCGGGGUCAGUGGCAGACGCAGCAACGUUCUUAUGGCUCGGCGACCUCUUCAUCUUCUCCGCCGCCACCUCCUCCACGUCCACCGUGGUCUGAAGCUUGAGCUUCAGAUCGACAGUCUCCUCAAACGCCCUCUUGCCUGAAUUCUUCGUCGCAUCCCCUUCUCCUCCUCCUCCGCCGGCACCACCGCCUGGCAGUCCCAGGCGCAGCUCCGUCUCCUCCAACCCCAAGCUGUAAUCUUCCAUUACAGCCUCCUUCAUUCUCCCAAGCUUCACCUUAGACUCCUCUCGAGACUACUCUAUAUUUAGAGCCCGAAACAGAUAGAGAGAGAGAGAGCGAGAGAGAGAGAGAGAGAGCAGCGGAGGCAGCACUGCGGCUAAUUAUGUGGGAACUUUUACCAUGGUCGGUCGUACGACCGAACCCGGCAUGGGACCGACACGUGUCCGACGGAUCCGGUUGCCGCUGGGUGACGCACGAUGACGUCGCCAGCUGCUUCCCGUCGUGGAAGUGCGCGCCGCCGACUAAAUCGCCGAUCCCGACGGCGCGGAGAAAGGUAGUGCAGUCGGGGACCCGCAUGUCACACGGCGCCGUGUCGGCUGGCGAUUCGGGACCACAUAUCCGACGGCCGAGAUGGCAUCUCCCUCCGCGGGUAAAGUCCCGGGUCCCAGAACUGGUGGGGCCGUUAAAACGGUGGCACACCCAGGGGGCAUGUGCCGAGAUUCGUGCAAAAAGACAGAAAUAAAUGAGAACCGUCCAUAUGAAGUUGGAUUUUAAUUCCUUUAAUGCUCAUUUAAGCUUAUAAAUCUUAGAUCAAAAUGGCCUUAAUGCUGAAUACUGCACGAAAUGUAGAGAUUUAGUUCUCAAUUAACCGAGGGCGGUGGAUGGAAUAGAGUUGCAAUCAGAGUAAUCAUCUCUUGGAGAGGAAUAUUUCAAGUUGGGUACAAGGAAUAUGAUAGCUAGAUUUUAGCUCAAAAGGUGAAGGUUUGAGCUGUUUGAGUUGAAGGUUCUCAAAGUCCACUCCAAAGGCACUGAUUCUCCAAAAUAUUGAUGGAUAAAACUUAUGUAAGAUUGUAUUCAUUUUAUAAAUUUCCAGAAAUCUAUUUUGAACUCAAUUUUGUGUUUUUCUCAAAAUUAAUUGGGAAUCAAUUGUUGUACAAAUCUUUUGUUUGUUUAUAUCAUAUUGCAUGUAGUACUCUACUUUGGAUGCUUCAUGUGGCUAAUAAAGUCUAGCAUUGUUGGGUUUACAAGUGUAUUAAGAUUUUUAGAUAUGUGAUUGGGAAUGUUAGUAUGAGAAUGAGUCCUUGUAAGUUUUAGUACAUGAGAGCAAGAUGUAAAAAAUAAUUUGGGUGCUUUUGGGUUUCUGUUUAGGUGUUUAAAAAAUGUGCUCUCUAAGAUUUCUAAAGAGGAUAUUCUCUAGGGUUUUUAGAAAGUAUGAGAAAAAGGUAUAAAUCCUUUAGAGUUUAUGCAAAAUGAUAUAGAAGAGGGGUUAUGCUUGAGUAAAGAUAACUUAAGGAUCUUAUAAUUGAUCUCACAUGAUAAAGAAUUUAAUUUUCUCUGUUGAUGUAGUUGAAAAGUGUCGAACUAUGUUAAUCUUGUGUUGGCCUUAUAGUAUGUUCUUGAUUAUUCAUCUAUACAUUUUUAUUUUGGUUUUGGAAGUAUUCUUCCCCUCCCAACAAGUGGUAUCAAUAUUCAAAAGAUUUGAUAAUUAAAUAUUCAAUAAAAAUAAACGAUGAAAAUUGAAAAAGUGUGGAUCAUAAGUAUUUUCUCGACAAAAAAUCCUAAAGCUAAUGUGGAUAAAAUAAUUAUCAAAGGAGAGAUUAUUGGGAUUGAUAAGUAUUUUGAGAUUCUUGGAACUAGUGUCCUAAGAGACAAUGAAUCAUAAUACGAGAAAGAGUCCUCGUGAAGGAAGAAAAUCCUAAUAAUUAAGGUUUAAUUUUUCUAUAAAUAUCUCAUGUAUUCUUAGAUUUUGGUUAGAGAUAAUAAGAUGUAAGGAAUACCUCUUAAGUUUUUCUUUAGGGUGUCUAGAGAAAAUGCUUUCUAGCGUAUCUAGAGAAGGUGAGAGAAAGGUCAAUUUUUUUUUAGAUUUAUAUGAAAAAAUAUACAAGGAAAUUAAAUGGUCCUCUAAUUGAUCUCACAUGAUAAAUAAUUAAAUAUUUUUCAUAGAUAUAAAUUGAAAGGAUCAAUCCAUAUUAAUCUUACAUCGAUUUAUUAUUAUUAUUAUUAUUAUUAUUAUUAUUAUUAUUAUUAUUAUUAUUAUUAUUAUUAUUAUUAUUAUGCUUCUUCUUCUUCUUCUUCCUCUUCUUCUUCAGUUCCAUAUUGUUAUAUUUGUGUAACACAUUAAUUACCUUUUCAACUAAGUCUAAUGCAACACAACUCUUUCAUUUGACUUUAUCUUUGAUGCAAAGCAUUUCCAAAAAUCGUAUGAAGAAGCGAAACUUGUGAAGAACCAUAUAUUAUACCCAAAAUUAAAGACAAAAGCAUGUGCACAUACUUAUCACAAAACCAAUUAACUUUGAGACAAAGGUAAACAUGUCGGUUGGAUGGACGAUAUAUAUAUAUAUAGGAAAGCCUAAAGUCACUGACCUCAUAUAUAUAUAUAUAUAUAUAUAUAUAUAUAUAUAUAUAUAUAUAUAAUAUUUGACUUGAACAAUGAUAUGGAAGAUUGUUGAGUAUUCACAAUGCCUUACUAUAUUUAUGAUUUGCCAUACAAAAAAAAUUCUUUUAUAGUCUAACAAGGGACCUCUCACCCAAUUAGCUUAUAUGCUACCUAAAAACUAUUAAGGUCCCGACACGAUAAAAAUGACCUCUCGAUCGAUCGGUUCAUCGGCUAUAAUACCACUCUAUAUGAAAAAUAUUCCCUAACGAUUGAUGAUGUCAAUCUAACCUCAUAAGAUUGGCAUUAUAAGAAGAGUUUGAACCUUCCAAAAGUUUGGCCCUUUACUUUUAUUUUACGUAUGAACUAUCGCAUGUUUACAUUCUUUAAUUGGCUGACCAAAUCUUGGACUUAAUGUUUGAUAAGACUCACCUCGAUCUGACCUCAUCAGAUUAGCAUUACCAUUAGAAAGAGGGAGUUUGAGAUGAAUUCUCGCAUGUUUCCGUUGGCUACGUGACCAAAUCUUGGACUUGAUAAGACUUUGGAAUCUAAUUGACAGACAAAUGCUUCAUCUUCUUCCGUAUGUCUUACUAAAUAUGCUGCUCGGCCACGCUGCAUAUGUUAGAAGACCAAACAAACACCACGCUUUUGUCUACUUCUGGUGCCGACAGGGAAAGAAGAUUAUGCAUGAGCUGGUCAAUGAAUUUACUGGCAUAAGAUUAACGAGACUAAACUUGAUCAUAGAAGGAGAAGAAAUCACCGAGAGUUUAGUGUAAGAAGAGUCACAAAAGUUCGGGACUGUGGACUUCUCUCCCACUCGAAGCGAUGUUCGAGGAAGAAGGUCCAAGGACAGCUCACGUGCAUGUUGACACGAAGUUGCAUGCCUCCGCUUAAUUGCUUCUCGUCCGUCUUCCUGUCCACAUUGGCUGGUCAGCGAGACAGCAGAGCGUGUUUGUAGCCCUCUUGGCUACACGUUGCAUGCUUUGUUCACAUCGACGUAGCCACAGAAACACGCAGCGAAGCUCACCGUCGUGGUAGCAGGCAUGGAUCUUGCUGCAUCAUCACAAGUGUCAACCCCGAGAAAUAUCUGGGGACCAGGAGUCGAUGAUUCGGUGGCAUGGGCUGGUGCAGCCGUGUGAGGUGUUCCUGUGACCUACAGCAAUAAUGUGGAGAACAGCCUUGCUGCGGUUGUAAGGUGUGCAAUUUGUAGAUACGUACCAGCCGUACUCGUCUGUUCUACUCCCCAUCGAAUCUGAAAAGAGAGAAGAUGAAGCCAAACGCAUCUGUGGGGUUAUUAGUUUUGAGAGUAUUAACGUGGUUAGCAGAUACAUGAGCUUAGGGUUUUUCUCGCGGUCAGAAGACAGCGGUGCUGAUGAACAGCAAGUAAACAGUUGGUUUCUGAUUAUGAGAUUGAGAGGACGGAAUAGGGUUUUCGGGUCCGCCAGCCACCCGUGUGGCUCGUCGACCUCCUGAUCUCUCUCCUUGAUUAUGGACAGCGUGCGUGCAUGUGGGUGUGUUAGCGCAGGAUGACAAGGACCUUCAAGGCAGACAAGGAAAGGCAUUUAACUGCUGCUGCGCCCGACGAUUUGUGAAGGCAGGCAACACUUCAAUGAGACGUUGCCUCUGUCUUCAGCAUUAUAUGUGUGUGUGUGUGUGUGUGUGUGAGAGAGAGAGAGAGAGAGAGAGAGAGAGAGAGAGAGAGAGAAUCAUAUGUCAUAUACAUCUCUUUCGGAUGAGCUGGAGGAUAAUUACCUAUUGAAAUUGCUGUAGCUUCCACGAAAGAGCAUGAUGUUUCCAUCAACUGGGGCAAACCUAUUGGUGGUAUGAGGCAAUGAUACCAAGGAAAUCUCCGUUGGUUUCCAUCUACCAUGCAUGCGUAUCCACUCGAUGCAAGAGAAACUGAGUGCAGAGAUGGAUCAGUGGCAAUCAACAACGCUGCACACGGGGGAAAUGAACACGGAGGAAGAUAGCAAAUGGUUGGCAUUCAAUGAAGGUCUCAUGUCACACAUUAGUGCUGUUGGUUGCACAUCGCUGCCUCCCAUGCUUGCCGAUCCUUCCCAACAUCUGCAUUACUUUCGUGUUGUAGGUGCACUGUUAACUCACCCGAGUUGAUUGGUGGUCCAAGUUUUGGAUAAGGAAGAGAUGAACGAAGAUGGAUUACCCACUAAUCGCUUCUCUGUAGAAGAUUUGUGUUGAUGAUAACACAGCCUUGAGAAUAACUUCCGACGACCUGCAACUACUAUCUCUAUCAGCUUUCGGCACUAAUUAUGAGUCCUCACCGAGAUGACAUGAAAUGCAUCAUCUCACCUAACUUCUCUCCAUGCAGGGCAGGGCUAGCGCGAGAGUUUUCGGACUUUGUGCUUGUCUGAUUGAUCUCCCAUGCGGUUCAGUAAACAAAAAGGAAAUUGAUCAAGCAACAACUAUUCAGAACAAAAAAAAUCUUCUAUCCUGAUCCAAGAACAAGACCGAGCAAAAAUUUACAGUGUUCUUGGUGCUGAACCAAAUAGAUGGUCCUCAUCACGCUUGUUGUUCCUGUAAACUAUGCCUAUGUCGAGACAAAAUCUACGGUAUUUGUACAAGAAUCAUAAUAUCCUUUGUCUCUUUACUGCAUGGUUUUCUCUCUCCUUUGAAACAAGCCGAGCUCCAAAUGCAGAGUUUGGCAUGAUUCGGAGAGUAAACUACAUCCUCAGUAUAUUUGGCAAGAGGAUAGGAUUUGAUGUCACUGCUCCUAUUAUUACUUUCAGUUUUUGACGAGGGUUGGCAGCCCCACUCCUGCAAUUUUUUGGCAGCUCCUCCUAACAAGGAGAAUAUUAUUAGGCCCCCCAAGCUCAUCGGUGCUGGGGGGACUCAUGAACUUCCCAAUAAUUGCAUGUAGAGAACAUGAAAACAUCACCAGACUGUGAUUGUCUUCGCAAGAGAACAAACUUGGAUGAUCUCCCCUUCCAUUUCAGUGAAAUGAAACUUACUGUUUCUGAGAAUUAGCAAGAUGCUCUUAAUAAUCAUAUCUAAUCAUAUUAAUUAUCAUGAUUCAUGGAUAACCAUGACUGACAUGUCAAGAAGAUGAUAUGUCAUCAAGUCCUUGACUGGUAGUUGAUAGAUAAUUCGACAUCAGCAUUCAUUGCUACGACUUGAUUGUGUCCAUCAUCGAGCUUCAUUUGUUGCAUGAUAUUAAAUGUGAAAAAGAAUAAAAGUGAUAUUAUUAUAGAUUUUUAAGACAGGUUUACGAAAAUAAAAUAAGGGUAAAAAAAAAAGAAAAACACGCAUAGAAUCGACAUUGUCUUCUCCACAUAUCCCACACGAAUCAUCAAAUGUAAUAAUGUUUAAUGUAUCAUGAUAAUUAGGUGGUGUUUGGCCUACCGACCAUGCACUAACAGCUCAUGUGCUCCUCCAUUAUGAUAUGGUCCAAGGAAGGCCGCGAUGGUUGCCUCCACCACAUGGCCACACAUGGGCUGCCGGACAAAUCGACGGCAGUGAUCUAUCCGGCACCGCCAUACGGUAAAUCUCGGUCGCACGAUCCCGACCGGGCCGGCCUCAGUCUGCCCUAAACUCGACCGGCAUCGUCCUCGUGGCUGUCCUCCUUCCAACCGACCGCCCUAGUUGUCAUUGCCCUCGGUUUCCCAUGCAUUAAAGCCUGGGAACAGUUUGCCUUCUUCUUCUACCCUCUCUCUCAUAUUAGUCUAUAAAUCUUUAUCGUUCCCAAAGACUUCCCUGUGAAGUCAUCGACAAGCUCGUUUGAAUCCUCUUCUUUGGGUGCAAAGACGCAGAGGUCGCACAAGUUUACGUACAUGGAAGCUGCGGGAGAGAGCCUGAGAGACACCGAGCUGAGGCUCGGAUUGCCAGGCACCGACGCGCCUGAGAAGCCGGCGUCGACUGUGACAAGGGGCGGCAAGCGAGCCCUCCCGGAGGACGACGAGGAGGGUUACGCCAAGAGCAACAAGUCGUCGUCGGAGGAGGAGCAGGGGGAGGGCGACCUGUGCUGCCAAGAACCCCCGGCGGCGAAGUAAGUUCGCGAGAAUGAGUGCUCUCGAGGUGGAAGAGACUAUGUGUGUUGUGUUGUUGAUGGCUGUUCAUCGACGUGCAUGGCAGGGCGCAGGUGGUUGGCUGGCCGCCCAUCCGGUCGUACAGGAAGAACAGCCUUCACGCUAGGAAGGUGGAGGGGGAGGCCGCCGGCUUGUACGUGAAGGUUAGCAUGGACGGGGCUCCCUACUUGAGGAAGAUCGAUCUCAAGGUCUACAAGGGUUACAAGGAGCUCAGAGAAGCCUUAGACGACAUGUUCAAGUGCUUCUCUCUAGGUAAGGAAACAUGCAGGCCUACAUGCAUGAUACCACUGAGAACAGCAGCAAACAUAUGACCACAGCAAUGAUCUAAAUCUUCGUUGAUCUCUUGCAGGAGAAUUUCCAAGGAAAGAAGGGUGCAGUGGAUCAGAGUACGCCAUCACUUAUGAGGACAAAGAUGGAGACUUGAUGUUGGUCGGAGAUGUUCCAUGGGAGUAAGCAUCUCAUCUCCUUUCUUUGAUAUGCUGCUUGUUUCUCCCUUCACUUAACUGACAGGCAUCUCUUCUUCCAUUUGGUGUGUGCAGGAUGUUCAUCUCUUCUUGCAGAAGACUGAGGAUAAUGAAGGGAUCUGAAGCCAGAGGAUUAGGAUCAAGACAUUAACAAGACAUCAUCUCAUAAGAAUGAGAUCUUUUUUGCUUGGAUUGUUCCAAGUUCAUGAGACUGCCCAAAGAAGGAAGAAGUGAGAGAAUGUCUGGAAAUAAUGGAUAUCUGCCAAAUGGAUGAUAAUAUACUUGUUCUCCAUGCAAUUGUACAGAAGAAGUUUGCUUGCUUUUAGUUUCAUGUCGAGAGAAGAUUGUGUUUUCAAGUUGUUGUUAGCAAUCAAAGGCUUGUUGUUUAUGAAUUCCUAUAUUAUGUAUAAUAACCUGAAACUGAGGAAAAGAAAAAGGAAAAUUCGCCUUUCUCUCUCUCUCUCCCCCUCUUGUGUUGUUAUGACAUCUCCAUCUUUUUUAUAUGAAUCUUGGAUCCAGAAGGAGCCAUACAUAUAUAUAUUUUCCUUCCAAACCAAUAUAACAUGCAAAAUUAUGUAUCACUUGAGGAAAUUUUUAUCACCUUCAAUGUUAUUGCAAGUAGGAUGAUGGGUGAGAGAGUGAUGAGGUGAAGCUAAAGAGACUUGGUGGGUGACAAGAUCUGAUAAGACUAGUCCGAAUUCCAUGAAUCAAAGGCGCAAGGAAUAAGAUUUCCGACAACCCGCAUGUGAUACACAUGGCUGAGAUGUUGGGAGCUCCCACUUAUGGCAAAAUUUUCCCAAUUUUAGAGGGAACAAUUUUUAGAGCCAAUAUAAAUAUAUGGAAACAUUAUGCUGGAUUUAUUGAUUAUUAUGAUAAAAUUUGUUGAUUGUCUAUCAUAAAGAAUUCGAUUAGAUUUAUGUCUAAAAAGCUUAAAGGGCAAGUCUUACCAUCUCCUCUUAAUAAAAAAAAUUGAUUGGGUUAUUAUAAUGUCACGAACGGUCAUCGCACACCCGCAACAACUUCGUUUAACGAACUGUUCAUCGCUCUCAUCUACAUGUACAGCUAUUUGGUAGCAUGUUUUGUCUUGGUUUUGAGUCAUUUUACUUGUAAAAAUAUAAAUUCGAACAAGUUGUAGCGCUAUAAAGCGACCGCUCACCGAACCGAACAAAACAGUCCCAAAACAACCCAAAACAGCUCUGUUUUCAUGUGCCAUGGGUUGUUUUCUGCAUUCCGCUUCCGCUCACUAAAACAUCAGCUAUCUCAGCCCCUUGGAACCUCCCGGGUGGCACAAGACUGGAUGGGGCUACGAUAUAAUAUCGGGUGUUGAACAACCUUUCGCAAGUUCUCACGUUACCUUGACGGGAACUUGUUGCUGCGCCCGGCACCCGGUGAUAGCUGUUUGUGGACUUGCAGCUGUUCAUUCAACCUUCUAAAGUCCUUGUUUUCCCUCUUUCCCUCUUUUCUCUUGUGCACGCAAGGUGCUAGCUGAAUUGCUUGUAAAGCUUCCCCUUUUCGCGAGACGUUGGGACUUGUUCGUCGCUCAUUCUUCGAACUAAUCAACUUUCUCUUUUACAGGUCCUUCGGGACCUGCAAGAGGUUACAAGUGGGCUUAUCUUUGUGGACGCAAAUUGCAAGGGCGAAGCGCGACUUAGACAACGCAAGCUAAGUUCGCGUCUUUACUGCAUAGGGUGCUUCGCGACUUAGGCAAUGCAAGCUAAGUUCGCGUCUUGACCGCAAUGGUGCCUCAUGCCUUAGGCAAUUCCAACNNNNNNNNNNNNNNNNNNNNNNNNNNNNNNNNNNNNNNNNNNNNNNNNNNNNNNNNNNNNNNNNNNNNNNNNNNNNNNNNNNNNNNNNNNNNNNNNNNNNNNNNNNNNNNNNNNNNNNNNNNNNNNNNNNNNNNNNNNNNNNNNNNNNNNNNNNNNNNNNNNNNNNNNNNNNNNNNNNNNNNNNNNNNNNNNNNNNNNNNNNNNNNNNNNNNNNNNNNNNNNNNNNNNNNNNNNNNNNNNNNNNNNNNNNNNNNNNNNNNNNNNNNNNNNNNNNNNNNNNNNNNNNNNNNNNNNNNNNNNNNNNNNNNNNNNNNNNNNNNNNNNNNNNNNNNNNNNNNNNNNNNNNNNNNNNNNNNNNNNNNNNNNNNNNNNNNNNNNNNNNNNNNNNNNNNNNNNNNNNNNNNNNNNNNNNNNNNNNNNNNNNNNNNNNNAUAUAGGUUGUAGCAAGUAAAAUCAUUUGAAAAGGCAAAGCCAUCUUCUUGUGCUUGGUGAAUCCUAGCAUUACUUCUCCAUGAACUCAUAAGACUAAAAGCUCUUGUUUUAUUACUCCAUGAUGUAUCUAAAUGCCCUACAUGCUGACAUGUUGUUCCUUUAUCCAAAUGUUUUAUUCACUUAACAUCAUUGUAAUUUAUUUGAUCAAUCAAAGUAGUUUUCUGAUGCUGCAUUUUCACCCAUGAGAACUUGGGAAUAUCUACAGAUCUUGAAGAGGGAAGAAUGGUCCCAUAAAACAAGACCAGGUGUGAUACAAAUACAAAGCUGCCCAACUAUCCAUAACCAUGUCUCUCUUACCACCAAUUCAACAUACUACACUGGCAGCAUGGGCAUGUACCUAACACACAGGAAAAGUAGGCAGACCCAACUCAAACUGCAUAAAUAAAAUAGUAUCAAGUGCUUCAGACAAGAGGAAGGAAACUUCUGCUCAAGACCUCACUCAUCUCUUUCCACACCAUAUUCAUUGGUAUGUGAAUGAGAAGAAAACUAGGGAGAUUCCAGGCAACAACCAACCAUGUUGCUAAAACAUGCCAGCUUUCUGACUCCCUUCUUGUCUCCAGCAGAUCGAAGAUUGAUCGCAUUUGAUCCACAUUCAAUGAACUUAGGAGCUUUAGCAAAAAUAGAAAAGACAGUUCCAUGCCUAAGAUUGCUUCAUAUGACAUCACUUUAGUUUAGAAGAAGUCAAGGAAGAUGUAAUAUAUUGCCAGAGAAGGAUGGUCUGGUAGCAUUAGGCAGGUAGCAUUGCCAGAGUCCCCAAUAUCUUAGAAACUUCACUCAUGUCUUCCUUGCUUCAAAAAAAGAUUGCUUUGGUACUUCUUCUUUCAUGCGUAGCAGUUCUUUCUAAAUGUCAGAAAUAUUAAGUCCCAAAAAUUGAUCUCAUUUGAGAGAACACAACUUCUAAGUUGGGAAAAUGAGAGUGCAUUUGACCAUGACUAGACACUGACCCUUUAGAGAUUAAUUCCAUGCUUAAGAACAAGAUUCACUAAGAACCUUUGUCAAGAAGCUCAAGUACAGCAUCAGAACCAUUGAAAGAUCAGAUUUUGGCACUUGGUCAGGGAAAUACACAAUCAAGAAAGAUUAGUAAUAGGCUUGCUAAGUGUUGUCUAAAAAUUGCAAGCAAUUUGGUACAUACAUACAUACAUACUAAUUUGCAACUUAAUGAUUCUUAUUCAAUUGCAAAUGUAAUUUAGCUCAGAAGUUUCCUGCACAUUUCAAUAAAUGGCUCAAGCAAACAUAAGUUUGCUAUGGUAGACAGACAUAUAUUAAAAAAGAUAUAUUGGGCACAGAUUUAAACAAAAGCAAUUACAACAUCAACUAAUCCAGAAAAUUUGUGCUUUACAAAAAUAUGUGAUGCAUAAUACCUAAUAUUUGUAUAACAAACAACAAGUGUUAAACCACUGUAGAAUCAACUUCAUAAACUCCCUGUAUUUUCAUAGUAUAUAGACAAACUACAAAGCUAGAAAUUAACAUUAUCCUAUGCAUACCAUAGGCACCAGUAUAAUGAGACAAGGAGCCCUUGAUAUCAAGAGGUAAUGAAAGAAGUAAUCUUAUAUCCUUAACAUCCAAAUGAAUCUAAUGAACCAACAUAUUAUUCCUUUCUUAGUCGUACAAACAUAUCAUAAUGCUGGCCUAAAGUAAAAUUUAUCCUUAUUUUACAAUUUGAUCAUACAAAAUGCAUCUGCUAAAAUUUAAGUUUCAACUACAAUUUAAAUUAGUGGCUCUGGUCCCCUGUUUUGUCGCCCGUUUUGUCAGAGCAUAUCUCAUCACUGUGGAGUUGAUGUCAGAUCAUUGCUUGUGGAACAAGUUGGUAAGCCAUAAUUUAUCAGCAAAGAUGCUAAAUUCUCAACAAUCAUUCAGAAACUCAUCUCAGCCGAUUUCUUGUAAGAAUCCUGAAAACUCAAUCCUUCAUCUGGUCUUCACUCGCAAAGCAAUAAACCAUCUGGUGUGGAAUUUGACCUAAACAAAUCUCAUAUCAGCUGGUAUCCUCAACUGGAUGGGUGCCUUGAUUACUAUCGUUGUCAUCUUUAUUAUCUGAAAGAUGAACUACUUUCAAGUCCUUGCUGAGUUCCUGAGUGUUAUUGCUACCAUCGUCACUUCCUACUGGUUUCAAGCUUGGAUUAGUAACAACAACAACAUCAUGCCUCUGAGGUUGACUAGCAUCACUGCUGUAAGUAUUUUCUUCAUCUUCACUAUAUGAUAUGCCAAACUUCUGCCCGUGGGUCAAUCCUUGACAAUGUCCCUGUAAAAGAUGCAAAAAAGCUAAUAACAACGAUAGCAGGAAGUAUAAAGCAAGGUAAUCUGCACCAUCUUGUAGCCAUUAAAUUACAACUGCUCCAAGUCAUUCUGUGCAAGGAUAUCAGGAAUAGAACAUGGUUUCAAUGGAGAUUUAAAAUGCCUGAUAUGAUAGUUGGUAGAGCUACAUAAUUCAAGGGCAAAUAAGUGGAUGCUCACGGCUAGUUGAGUGAAGUAAAAUGGGUUGGUUCCCAAGUGUAUAUGGCCUGGAUGUCAGAGUCACACUUCUUUCAGCUAGUGAGGUACUUGAAUGUUCUUGAACAAGGAAUUCUUUGUAGAUGUUAAGAGUGCCCUAGAAGUCACAAUAGGUGGCCAAGUAAUGUUCACCAAAUCCAUUGUGAAGGAUUCAUAGUUUUUGUUGAAAUCUGUAAAUGCAAUCUCUCAAGCCCCAUUAUCUAUUUCCUUUCCCCCCUACAAACCCACUCCGCUCUCCCCUCAAAUGCCUCACCAAAACAAUUCACCACCAUUGCAGUCCCUCUCUGUCUUUGUUCCUCAGAUUUGAACAAUCCUUGGUCAGUCAUUGAGACGGUUCCUUGCCUCACUCUUUCUUCUCUUUCCCAGGUAUGUCCUCUCUCCUCCUCCCCACUUGAUACUACAGCCACCAACUCCCUUGGCAGCUCCUUGUAUAUAUCUCCCUCCUUUGCUCCUCUCCUCUUCAUCUCGUCUCUCUCUUCCUACUCCAUUCACCUCUCUUCCAUCUAUAAUCAAACAUGUGAUAAGAAUUUGAUUUAAAGGGUUUCCUUUGCUGUACAGGCACUUACACUCCAUCAGGUGCAAUUUUAAUCACAAUGGAAAGAAACCAAACAAAUCCUGAGAGAACCAUAUUGCAUUGUCAGUUAAUAUAGUUUUUUUGUCAUUAUUUUAACACACUAUGUAAUACAGAAAAACUCAAUUUCUUAGACAUGCCAUUGCCAUGACAGAUAACAUUGUGAUAUGUCAUGUCAUACCAACACAAGGCCAUGCUAGAAUGGGAAUUUGUGAGUAUGGCACCAUCCCAUGCCGAAAGAUAUUGGCAUGCCAUAUGUUAUGAAACAACUGUUAUUGCUAUAUGCCACGUAACAGUAACAAAACUUCUAUGACAUUAAGAAUCUUAAGCUUUCACCACGGAUCUACCAUAUAUAUCACUUUAAGAGGACUGGAAUUAAUGUGACAACUUAUUUAAAGAUCAAAAUCCUCUUUCUACCCUAGCUUCUAGAUUAUAGUCUUCAUACCUUGACGAAACCUGAAGCUGAAAAAGAAUCCUGGAUUUUGGGCUGAGCAACUGAGGAACUAAAAAAUCCAUGAGAAUGAGUGUCAUUUGUUUUGUGAUGAUUAAAUGAUGUCUCAAAGAUGCCAUAUCUAUUGUUUGCACCAUCUUUGCAAAAUGCACCAAAAUAUGAGCAGUGUUCAUUGACCAAAGAUAUUUCUGGAGUUGCAGGCAAGAAGUGACCUUCUGUACUAAAUAUGUACCUGCACUUCAGAAAACAAUAUUUGUUAACAAGCUAAGCUUUGAUUUCAAUUACAAUAUGAAAGCUGCAGAUAAUGGUCCUUACUUAUAUGGCCCAUUCUCAACAAUGUUGUCCGGACCCACAGAUAAAUCAAAAAGCAGCCAAAGAUAUUUGACCUGGAAUUUAUUACUGUCAGAAAUGAUGUAAAGGGGCAACUCUCUACAUAGAGAUUAAGUUGAGCAAAUCAAUGAAAUGGCUGUAAUGCACACUAAGGUUGGUUUGAAGUAUAGAUCCAUGAAGCAAAUAUUCAUUGGAGAUGCCGAUUAAGGUUAGACAAAAAAUUAAGCACAGAAGGCUAUUCUUAAACCACAAGACCCAAUUUGGCUUCUGCCAUGAUAUUCCAAUAUUUCACCAGCACCAUCAUCCUUUAUGCUAAAAAUAAUAAGUGAGCCGAUCUUUACUGUUUCAGCAAGGAAAAAACUCUCCAUAUGAUCAUCCUGCUCGUGAGACUCUACAUCAGCUAUAUGACAAUAUCCACAAGGACACCUGGCACCAUACUGAAGACUUGCCACAAUGUCCCGUCCAACAUCAAGAUACCUGCAUUAAUAUCUGAAAUUUUAAACAUAGCUAAAUUAUAGAAAAUAAAUCAACACUAGUUCCAAGGAAAUGU
rnacentral:lncRNA from 1 species